AAUGGGACUAUAUUGGAUUCACUUCUUUUAUUUUUUCCAAGAGGAAAUGGGUUUAGCCCCUAUUGGAUUCAUUUCACCAACAGAAAAGUUAUAAGAAACAUAUACCACUAGAAUUCCAAUCUCAAGUUAUCGGAUUCAUAAAUAAAAUCCACACAAAUCUGGUGAAAUCAAUCCUAAUCAUGAAGGUUCUAAAAAAAGAAAUCAAUGAUAAUUGAAUUGGAAUUAAUAAAUUGAAGGUACUCUAUGUAGAAAGUGUAAAUUAACACAGAGCAACCUAUAUUCAAGCUACAGAAACAUCAAAUUUAAAUACAAAAAAAAUGAAGGACCAAGAACGGGGUAGCUACGUAGACUAUAAUUUAUCAGUUUGUGCACUCAAGGUAAAGUAUGGACCCAUCUAUAAAAAAUUGUGUGAAAGAGAAUAGCUUUUUACAUAAGGCCAUGUUUGGUUCGACGUAAAAGUGGACCGAAAAAAAUUUUUCUCCGAAAAACAACUUAGUAGCGUGUUUGGUUGGAAGUAAAAAAUUUUUCUGGAAAAACUUAUUUUACAUAUGUUAGGAAAAACUUACUUUUCGUUUUCCGCAUAAGAGCCGCGGAAAACGAAAAGGCAGCGGCUAGCAAAACAGUAGUAGCCACAGAUACGAUUCUCAAUCAAAAAGGACAAAAUGUAAUAUGUGUUUAUGUAGCUAUCGGUCAAAAACCAUCUUCUGUGGCUCAGGUAGUGACUACUUUCCAGGAGCGAGGGGCCAUGGAAUACACUAUUGUUGUAGCUGAAACGGCGGAUUCACCUGCUACAUUACAAUACCUCGCCCCUUAUACGGGAGCAGCUUUGGCUGAAUAUUUUAUGUAACCGUCCCAAUGGUUUGGACUUGAGUAGCUGAAAAAAGAUAUACAACCUUGGCAAGAACGACGUUCAGCAAGAAUUAUGACUCAUGCUCCUUUAGGUUCUUUAAAUUCCGUGGUGGCGUAGCUACCGAGAUCAAUGCAGUCAAUUAUGUCUCUCCUAGAAGUUGGUUAGCUACCCACAUUUUGUUCUAGGAUUCUUCUUUUUGUGGGGCAUUUGUGGCAUGCGGAAGGGCCGCGCAGCUGCUGCAGGGUUUGAAAAAGGAAUCGAUCGUGAUUUGGAACCGCGCUCAUGGGAGGCAAAACAUUGCGCGUCCCCGAGGCCCUUUGGCCUUGUGGACUGUGCGAGAGGGAGGUCCACAGGGUUCAUGUGGACCUCUCUCUCAUUAUAUAUUAUAUAUAUAUAUAAUAUAUAUAUAUAUAAAUUUUAUUAUAAAUAAUAUUUUAUUAUAUAUAUAAUUUAUUUUUAUAAUAAAAAUAUUAUUAUAUAAUAUUUAUUUAUAAACUUGUAAUUAUUUAUUAUAUCUCUUAAAUAUAUAAUUAUGUAAAUGUUUAUUUAUAAUUUUAAAUAUAUUUAAUCUAUAAUAAAAAUUAUAUAAUAAUAUAUUAAGAUAAUAAUUAUUAUAUAUUAAUAAUAUAUAAAAUAAAAAAUAUUAAAUUAUUUUAUUUACUUUUUUUCCUUUCACAAAAAUCAAUCGUCAUGAAAACUAUUUUUCUUUUUUACAAACCAAACACAAACGACGUAAAACUUUUUCCCACCGAAAAUUUUUUUCCAUCGAAAAUUUGUUUUCCACAGUUUUACGUGGAACCAAACACACCCUAAUUAACAAAAGGAAAAUUCAAAAAAGAACCUAAUGCUCAGAUAAUCAAUUCAAAGUAGAAUAUCUAAGGACUUAACUUUGAAAUUAUUACAGUAGCAUUAAUUAUGACUUACAUCACAAGCUAAUAGGUAUUUUAACACAUACACAUUUAACACAAUACAUAUUUAAACUAAUGAGAAAUGACAUGUGAAAAAUACACAAUAGUAAUAUUCGCUCCAUCAGGGACGAGAUUGUUACCGAUCGUUCCUAGAGCAAUGGCAAAGGCUUGGUGGUUGGUACCCGAGACCCAAAUUCGAAUCCUACUUGAUUCACAUUUCCAGCUAAGUUUAUUUCUAAAUGAAAUAAACGAAGCGGGUAGCGUGCUACCUAUCUCUCUCAAAAAAAGGACGAGAUUAUUGCGAAAAUGUUUAGAUCUCAUGAGUAGGCCGAAUAGAUAGAUUACAACAUUGCUCUUUUCAAAACAAUUAUUCAUUGGAAACUACGAAUUUUUAUACUUCUGUAUUGGCAAACAGGAUUCCCAAUAAAUCAACAUAUGGGAUUGCUCUCGUUCGGUAGGGCCUCGCGUCGGGAUUUUGCUGUGUAAAAGGAGAAAGGUUUGAAUAAAUUAGAACUUAGUACUAAAUACUUGAAAAUGUGAUAUAGUAAUGUACCUUGAUAUAUUCAUUCCAUUCAGCAUCUGUAGCAAUUACUACAUGACAUUUAUGAUCCCAGCUAAACUUUGGAUGAUGCCUGAUGCGGUUCACUAUAUGAUAUUCACGUCUAUAAAAAUUGAAGCGCUCAAACAAAUGUUUGUGUUCAUACUGCAAGCCAGUUGAUUCAUUGAACUUGGCUACUAUGUUGCACCAAGAAUCCUCUCCACCGUGUAGUAUAUUUUCCUCCCCUCCAUUUGAAAUUUGCUCCACCAACAAACUAAGCAAUAUUUUAUCAUGCUCCUUUUCCUAUAUUGCUAAAGGCUGAUCUGUUAUUAUAAUCCUUUUUUUUUCCGGAAUUACAUUUGGCGUCUCUAUUCUAUAUGUAAACAAAAGAAAAACCAAAACUUACAAUUUAAGAAAUUGCUGCAAAAGAAAGAAAGAAUAUUAUGAUCUUAAAGGAAAAAAUAAAUUAUAACCAUCAGGAAAUAUUGAGAAAGUUAGUUCUAGCUAGUUGCAUGAGAAAUACCAAUAGCCUUAUGAUGACAUCCAUCAUAAAUAAAUUCUUCUUGCCAUUGAAGUAAAGGAAAAGUAUGCCGCUAAUAUGUCAUGAUUCUAUUAGGAAACAUGCAAACGCAACUUGUUCGUUCUGUGGGGAACAUGAAAGAGCCUGAUCAGUUGAUCAGUUGAUUAAGAUGGGACAUGCGAUUACGAGUAUGAAUUCAAUCUAACAAAUAAUUGAGCUUCGAAAUGAAGAGCAUAUAAAUCUUUUUUCAAUUGAGCUUGAGAUGAUCUCUUUUAUGUUAUGUAUAUAUAGAAACUGAAAGUUAAAAAGCUAAAGGUACGUUUGUGGUGACUAGUGAACAACUGAACUCUCAUAUGGCACCACUCCAGAUCAAAGCGGAUGAAAAUUCAUCACUGAUUUAUUUUCUUUCACAGAGAAAGAAAAAACAGAGGUCUCUAAUAUUAAAUUUCAUUUAUGGGGAACUUGUAAAUAAUAACUUGUAAAAGGAAGCAGCAAACUUAGAAUUAGAUAACUACAUGACAUGUUUUCAAAUUCAAAACCCAAGAAAUUACUAGUUCAACGAAAGUAAUUAGUCCCUUGCUGCAAUCCAUUAAGGUUUUUGGACUUAGAGCCAUUCUCAUGCAGGUGCUACUCGCAGUUCCAUUCACUAAUAACAUCCACAUAUGCUGUACACUAAUAAGGCAUGGGAGCACAUAAAUAAUUUGAAUUUUUUAUUUGUAGGUUUUGGUAAUUAGUUAGUUAAUCUUUUUGGGCAACAACUUCGGAAGUCAAGUUUUCUCCCAUCAAGGAGUUAUCCGAUGAAGCCUCAUUUAUCUGCUUCGCAAAAUUUUAAAAUUUGGUAUACAGUUCUCUGUUAAAUCCCUUCCUAUGAACUUAACAGAACUUGUCCUUCACUUGUAUCUUGUUCAUUGUUAGAGUCAAUGCAUAUGUAGUUACAUGUAUAGGGGGCCUAGAAUGUCAUUGAUAGUAUGAGAAUAAUAUUUGCUAGCUACCAACUUUAUUAUUAUCGAAUGUCUUUAGUUCCGUAGGAAUUGGUGGAAUAAUAAUAAUCUACUAAUGAAAAAUUUGAUAGUAAAUACUAUUCAUGUACUAUCAAUUGUAUACUAGCUCAAUAUAUAUAUAUAUAUAUAUAGAGUUGAGCUAGAAUACUUGUAAAAGUAUUAUGUGAGUGGUGCUUUUGAGUUUUUAGCCAUUGGAUGGAGAGAUGUGAGGUUGAAAUGAUGGUGGUAGGUGGAAUAGUGUUUGAUCCAAGGGCUAUUAGUAAUCAAGGAGUAGAUCCAAUGGCUAAAAAUCUAAUAGCAUCAUGGGGGUAAUACUUGUAAAAGUAUUCUAACUCAAUUCUCUCUCUCUCUCUCUCUCUCUCUCUCUCUCUAUAUAUAUAUAGAGGAUAGUUUUCUCCUGGUUUUCUUAUUGACUUCUCAAAUUACCGAUAUACCUUGUGAAACACAAUCGGCAUGAACUACACUGAAGUAGAAGAGUGGUUCUCAAAUUACUCUGUAAUAUUUCAAUAGUCUCACAUCGGAUAAGAAUGGAGUUAGGUUUCGGUAUCUACAAGAUCAUGAACAUUAGUAAUAAUAAUUGAGUUUAAGAAUUUGGGCUAGUGUUUUAGGCCUAAUGAGUCAUGGUGGUUUCAUGACCAUUGAUUCAAGGAACUUAUGUUAACCAAUUUGAGUUAAUCCUUCCGGCCCUUUGGAAUGAAAUGAGAUUGUAUAGGAUUCACUUCUUUCUAUAUUUCUUUGAAAAGAGUGCUCAACCUACAAGAACUGUUUAUGAUAUUUAAGGUAGAAGGUAGAAUUCUUUAAAGAAAGAACUUCGAGUUAUUUAAAGUAAGAAACAAAAUUUAUAAAUAAAUGAAAUAAAGUAGGGAUCUAUGAAAUCAUUGCAAUUGAUGUUCGAUCCCUUUUCUUUUCUUUUCUUUUCUUUUUUUCUCAAGGAAAUGGGUUUAGCCUCGUUUACAUAUUGGAUUCACUUUCACCUACAGAAAAGUUGUAAGAAACUCGAACAGCUACAACUCCAACCUCAACUUAUCAGAUUCACCCAAAACAAGAGAAAUCAAUUUAAAUCAUGGCCUAGCUAGUUAAGAUUCCAAACAGAAAAAUCAGUGAUAAAUGAUUUGAAAUUCAAGAACAGUAGAUACUCUAAGCCAGAAAGUGGAAAUUUACACAAAGCAACCUAUAUUCCAGCUAUUAAAACAUCAAAUUAGGAAUAAAAAAUUAGACUGAGGAAAGGGAAGCUACGUACAUAUGGACCAAAUUGAGCUCGAAGACCUCAAGGUGAAGGAUGGACCCAUCCUCAAUACUGUAGUCCGCCAGAGAUUUGGCCGUCUCAAAUAGAUGAUGGCCAUUGAAAUAAAGCGCCACACCAGGCCAUUUACCAAGAACAGUUUUUAACACAUCCUUGAUGGUGUUAGAGCUGUUCACCUCAAGCGCAUAAUUUCCAUAAUCUUCUGACUGCACAUAGAUUUUCAUUUCACCAUCCCCACUGGGUCUCAUAGAAGAGCUAGACUCUGCAUAUCCCUUCUUGGCUAUUUUUGUUGGACUAUCAAAGUUGCAUAUGUAAGGCACGUUAGUUUCUUUGUAAUAGAAUUUCACAUAGAUCCUAACAUAUUUCAGGCACCAGUACAUAUAUAACAAACAAUAAUAUUANNNNNNNNNNNNNNNNNNNNNNNNNNNNNNNNNNNNNNNNNNNNNNNNNNNNNNNNNNNNNNNNNNNNNNNNNNNNNNNNNNNNNNNNNNNNNNNNNNNNNNNNNNNNNNNNNNNNNNNNNNNNNNNNNNNNNNNNNNNNNNNNNNNNNNNNNNNNNNNNNNNNNNNNNNNNNNNNNNNNNNNNNNNNNNNNNNNNNNNNNNNNNNNNNNNNNNNNNNNNNNNNNNNNNNNNNNNNNNNNNNNNNNNNNNNNNNNNNNNNNNNNNNNNNNNNNNNNNNNNNNNNNNNNNNNNNNNNNNNNNNNNNNNNNNNNNNNNNNNNNNNNNNNNNNNNNNNNNNNNNNNNNNNNNNNNNNNNNNNNNNNNNNNNNNNNNNNNNNNNNNNNNNNNNNNNNNNNNNNNNNNNNNNNNNNNNNNNNNNNNNNNNNNNNNNNNNNNNNNNNNNNNNNNNNNNNNNNNNNNNNNNNNNNNNNNNNNNNNNNNNNNNNNNNNNNNNNNNNNNNNNNNNNNNNNNNNNNNNNNNNNNNNNNNNNNNNNNNNNNNNNNNNNNNNNNNNNNNNNNNNNNNNNNNNNNNNNNNNNNNNNNNNNNNNNNNNNNNNNNNNNNNNNNNNNUUUUUUUUUUUUUCCUCUAGCCAUCUUAUCGAGCUGAUAUUCGGUUUCUGAUCGAAAUAAUCAAAAAAAUUCAAUUCAUUUGUUGGCUUCAUGACUAUUCAAUUCAUCACGAUGUUAAAGAAAGUAACAAUUCAAGAAACUCAUGCGAAGUAGACAUGUAGUUGAAUCUCUUUGCUUGCAACGAGAAUGUAAUUUCCAUCUUUAGGUAAGAUCUUUAAAUCUGGGACUAAAAUUAAUCAUAACCAAACUAAUUUAAAACGAACCAUACGAAAUCAAAAUCUAAGUUACUUAAUUCCAAACAAAAAGGGAACAAAAAGGGAAUAAGUGAUACUCAUAGGUGUGUGCCAACACCCGCGGCGUGCAGUUCAGAUGAAGCACGGAGCCGUGUUCGAUUCCGUAUUCGGCCAGGGUUUUCUGCUUCUGCAACUCCAGGUCAUUGAAAGAAAGCCGCGGCUCCGGCGCUCGGCCCGCCCUGUCGCUGCCGAGAAUCUUGACCAGCACGUCCACGACAGUGUUACGGCAGCACACUAGGAGAUGGUAGUUGUGGGUAGCGUCGGACUGCACAGUGAUCUUCAUCUCACUGGCGAACUGAUCAGGUUCCCCGGCGGAGUCCCACUUGGAGUUCCACAGUUCCGCGACGGAGGCCGGCAGCUCUGCAGUAUAUAAAUGACUAAACCAAUUAAGCAACAACAAUUACAAUAUCAUGAUGUUCACAUGCAAACAUUGUAAAUCACUGUAAUAAUAAUAAUAGUAGUUAGUACCUUCUUAUAUAUGGAUCAAUUAAUUAAUUACAGCGAGUCAAGUAGCACAGGCCACAGCAACUCCGAGAGAGAAAGAGAGAUACACAAAAAAAAAAUAGAAAGAAGAGGGAGGAUUUAUAGAGAUAAGAGGACUUAGUGAGAAAGAAGAAGAAUAGUUGUGACGUUCCAAGAAAUUGUUUGUACGGAUCUCACAAUGUGUGUGUAAUUGGGCCCGACGAAGACGCGUUUACUUGAUUCACUGUUAUUUCUCUCUCUUUGAAGACGCGUUUACUUGAUUCACUGUUAUUUCUCUCUCUUGAAAGACGCGUUUACUUGAUUCACUGUUAUUUCUCUCUCUCGAAGCUUCCGACCUCUUUCCGGAGUACUGCUUUUUUCUUUUCUUUUUCUUUUUUUUUUCUUUUUUUUGAGAGAAAGAUAGCAAACCAAUAAAAACAACAAAAACGUACAAAGAAAAAAAGACAGCAACUCCGAGAGAGCUGACAUUCACUGUUAUUUCUCUCUCUAAGAGCAGCAUGAGCUUGAGAACAGAGCAAGAAAAAAAACGAAACAAAACAAAACAACAAAAACAGAGAGAAAAAGAAGAGUAGAGAAAGAGAGAGAAAGGAGAAAAGAGCAGGAGGAUAAACUUUUUUUUUUUUUUUUUUUUUUUUUUUGAGGAGAUAGCUUUAGGUAGCAGGUAGGGGUUUCUGCUGUAAACGAGACGAAAACACGCAUGCGCAUGUGGGUCGGCUCCGUGUUCGGCUCGUUUAAUAAUAACGAGCUGGGUCAUCGAACAUAAUUAAAAAAGAUUAGAUUAAAUAUAUAUAAAAAUAAAUUUAUAAAUCUUAUCCAUUAGACUUCGAUCUAAUAUUAAAACUUUAUAUAUAAAUGACGAUCUUUUUAUAAUUAAGCUCAUAUUUUAUAUUUUAUUUUGCUAAAAUUUAAAUAUAAAAAUUAUAUUAUAUAUAGGUUGAGUGGGAAUACAUAUCGGUAGCAACGGGCUUUCGUUGCCCACCCAUUUUGCUUUCGAUGAUGGAGCUCCAAAUCGCACGAUCAGGUUACGUUGAAAUGAUCCUAUACCACUUGAAGUAUCUUUAGAAAUUCAAAGUUUCAUUACUUUUCGAUAAUUUUUUUUCUUGUAUUUUUCAUCAAGGUGAGGCGUUUAAAAGAUAAAAUGGCGUGAAAAUGAAUAUCUAAAAAGUGAAUGAUAGGAAAUAUGUAAUCAUGAUCGAGAGUUAUAGAUCUUGUUUAAAUAGUUUAAAAAAUUUUCUAAUAAAAUUCAAUUGAUUUGGAUGUUUUACACCGUUAAACUGAGAAAACAACUCAUAUCAAACCAUUGAAAAUUAUAAAUUUUUACACCCUAUUGAUCUUUAGGUAAAUGAUUUCAGCAAAGAUUUGAAAUUUGAUUUCUAGAUACUUCAAGUGUAGUAGAUCAUGUUCAACGGUACUGAUCAUCGGAUUUGAAGUCCAUCUUCGAAAAUAAUGAGUGGCAACGGGUCGUUUCUACGAUAGAUUUUAGCUCAUAAUCUUAUUAUAUAUUAAUUAUUUAUUUAUAUAUAAAAAUAAAAAUUAACUAUUAUAUAAAUAUUAAAAUAUAUGUAAUUAUGCGCUUUUAUCGAGCGAACCACGAGUGAGCUAAACAUGCUCUCAGUGUUCGGCUCGUUUAUUAAAACGAGCUGAAAAUCCAGCUCGUGUUCGGUCGUUUUACUAAACGAGCGGCCGCAUCUCGAGCUCAUUUCGAGCCGAACACGAGCUGGCUGUUGAACAGCGCAGCUGGAUUGGCCCUAGUGCAGGCUCGCCGCUUUGUUUUCAUUUCAUUUAGAAAUAAACUUAGCUGGAAAUGUGAACUAACUAGGAUUUGAUUGGGUCUCGGUACCAACUCAUCAGCCUUUUGCACUUGCUCCAGGAAACGGUCAGGUGCAGAGGAUAAAUUUACUUCUUUUUUUUUUAUUUUCAACAAGCGGUAGUCGUAGGUUGGAAUAAAUUUAGAUCGAGUCCACACGGAGGCGUAGGUUAGGAUAAAAUUAGAUGAGUCUGAAGUAGAAUUUGAUGGAAUGCAAAUAUGGUUGCCAAUAUGGGGACUCAUCUGUAAAAAAUUAGGAAGCUCCUAUUUAAUUUACCUUUUUCUAUAAUCUCUUGUUAAAUAUAAAAAUAUUUAAACACCGUUCUCUAACAGUUUAAGCUUUUAGAGUACAACGAUUGUUUCACAUGGUAUCAGAGCAGGAGAUCCUGAGUUCGAGUCACGCCAGGCUCCUAGCAUAUUAAUUUCCUCCCAUUUAAUUCAAGCCCACGUCAUGGGACCCAGACGUGAGGGGGAGUGUUAAAUAUAAAAAUAUUUAAACACUAUUCUCUAACAGCUUAACCUUUUAGAGUACAACGGUUGUUUCACAUCUCUCUCCAAGAUACCCGAUCGCAUAAGAUGUUUACGCACCAUAUAAAUUCUAUAAAUCUACUAUUCUAUACAUAACCUUAUCGUGCGGACGCAUUCGUAUACGGAUGAAUUAUGAUUAGAUGAAUUAUGGUUAGAAAAUUAUUUAUGUACUUAUAUCAAGAUCAGUACUGUUGAUCUUAAUUUGAAGUAUUCUAUUUUCUUUUUUUAUAAGGUUUUUAAAUUUGAACCAUUCAUUUUGUGGCAGCAUGACGCACUUGACAAUGAUAUUAUAAAAAAAAAUUAUGAACUUUCAAUUCCUAACAACUUAGAAAAUCUUAGAUUACGCUUAAUGGUGUGAAUUACUGAUUCAAAAGUUCUAUUAUCGAAAAUAAGACUAUAACACAAAAUACUUUGUGCCGUUAAUAUAACGCUAGCUUAGCUUUAUGCUUUAAUUUUCAAAACUUUUGAGAGAAUUCACAUCUUCAAAGUCCACUAAUAAAAGAAGAAUUUUAAAAAUUCAUCAAGUAAAUUCAAGAUAUUAAUCAUUUUCCAGGACCAAAGGGCCAAUCAUCUCUUCGAAUAAAAAACAACUAAAGAAGAAACAAAUCCUUCACAUAACUAUGCUCCAUCAAAAUAAUUAACAAACACUAAUUUAACUUGAAAACUUAAUAUAAAUUUUUUGCUUAUAUUAUUCUUUGAAGAGUGCCUCUUUAAUCAUGGUUACAAUAUGUGAACUAUGGUAUGUACAAUAUAUUUGUGAUAUGAUUUGAUAUAGCAACCUACUAAGUUUUUUUUUUGAGAAAGAGGUAGCGAGCUAUCUGCUUCAUUCAUCAAGCAAAAUGAACUAAGCGUACAUGAUGAAAGCAGCUAAGGCCUCCUAUGAAGCGGAAAAAAAUAGAAAAUGAACAAGGAAGGAAAAAUAGAGCUAUAGGAGAAAGCUAGAGAGCUAGGACAGGUGAUGCGGAAACACAAAAGAGAGAUAUCCGGAAGAAAAAGAAAGGGAUCACAGGUCGUUCCCGGCAUUCAUCAAGGCAAGAACGUCCAGUCGUUCGUCAUCAAGCAACCUACUAAGUUACAAUCCAUUUGGAUGUAUAUGGUGGCUAAUAACAUAAUCAUAAUAGGACCAUCAGAUAACAUCAAUCAAAUAGUAGGCACUAAGAUGAUGCACAAUUAAAUUAAUGAGAAAUGACAUUCAAUAUAAUUGAAAUCAUUCUCAUGUUUACUUUGUGUGCAUAAUAGUCAAGUAACACAUUUUCAAAUAAUUGUUUGCUUUAUUACAGUUACAAUGCACAUUCAGAGUUUGUAGAUGACAAUGAACAAAAUGUAUGAAAAUAUAGUGUUGUUGUUCUUCUCCAAAAAGCUCUGCUUCGGGUUUUGCCUGCGCGAAUGCCAAAAUAGUUUGAAUCAAUUCAAGUAUAAAAAAGGAUCGAUAGUGUUGGAUAAAGAAUAAUAAUAAUAAUAAAUACGGUUAGUAUACCUUAAUAUAUCAAUUCCAUUCAUUAUCUGUAGCAAUUACUACGUGACGUUGGUAAUCCCACCUACGUGUUGGUUGUUGCUCGAUGUUGUUCACCGUUUCAUAUUCGGUUGUGUAAAAGCUCAACCGGUCUUUCAAAUCUUCAACUUCAUAAUUCGACGCUGUUGCCUUGCUGAAUCUAGCCACUAUGUUAUGCAAAGCAUCCAUUUUAAAGCCUUACCCGUCUCUCCCGCCAUUAUGCACAUGUUUUACCAUCAAAUCAAGCAGUGCUUUGGGGUAGCGUUCUUCAGCCAAAUUGCUAAAAGGUUGGUUUCCUCUUUUGAUGGUUAAUUCAUUGUAGUAUUAUUUUUGUCAGCUCUCUAUUCUGCAAGUGAAAUAAAACAAGAAUAUCCUAGAAAUACUUUUAGGGUGCGUUUGGUUCGCAUUAUGAAAGAUUACUAGGAAGGAAAAGAUGUCCGAGAAUCUUAUUCCUAUUCAUCAUAUUACUAAGAAUGUGGAAUUCCUGUGUUUGGUUCGCAUGGUCAUAUUAUUUAGCCAUGUUAUUUAAGAUUACAAAAAAUAUACAAUUAAUUAAUUUAUUUUUUAAAUUAAUUUUAGAUAAUCUACCAAAAAUUUCAACAUUUUUUUAGAAAAAAGGGAGAGAGAGCAUAGGUUAGAAAGAGAGAGCAUAAUUAAAAAAAUAGUAAGAGAAAUAGAGUCGAAAUUAGAGGGAGUGAGAGAGUUGAGAUUUUAGAAAAAGAGGGAGAGAGAAAGCUUAGUAAGAGAGAAAAAGAGUUAAAUUUUAGAGAGAAAGAUAAGUUUAGAGAGAGAUGUGAGAUUAUAGUAUGAAGAAAAAUAAUACCAAUUAGCCGACGGAUAGGGAGAAAGAAAGAGAUUAGACAUAUUAUGAUUACCCCAAUCCAUAUUAUAGGAUACCCACCCUUUCUCAAGAGAAUGAGAUUAGUACUUUGGGAUGAAUCUUAUUCCCAAGUAAAUCCAAUAUUACUAACUAGAUUACUUAGUGCGUUUAACCAAACACCGUCAUAUUUUUUUAUUCCUAUUGGAUUACUAGGAAUCUUUAAAAGAUAGCGCGAAUCAAACGCACCCUUAAACUAAAAUAACAGAGAAUAAUGAUGAUUGAAAAUAGUAGAAAAUCGUAAUCAUAGAACAUCAUUGUGGACGGCGUUUCGACUGCAUGCACAGUGAUCUCCAUCUCACUGGCAAAGUCAAGUUCCACAACGGAGUCCGGCGGCUCUACACAAUCCAUCUCCAGCAGCUCUAUAUGGACACAUUGUGUUGUUCAAAUAAUCACAUUCAAUUUAGAGCAUCUAAUGACUUAAUUAUGAAAUCAUUGAGGGAGCAUUAAUAUAAGCUUACACUAAUGAUAGAUGCUAACAUAAAUACAUAUUUAAAUAGAUCAGAAGUGGCAUGCGCAAAAUAUAGUGUAACAAUGUUUGCCUCGGUCAAGAGGCGAGAUUACUGUGAACAUGUUGAGACCUCCUAGCUAGAGAAUGAAGAUAUUACAACACUAUUUUUAUUUCAAGAGAGUCACUCAUAGGAAAUCACGAUAUUUUAUUUUUUUUUCUCGACAAACACACUUUCAUAUAAAUUAAUAUACGGUACUUUUCUGCUUCGAUAGUCCUUCGCACUAGGAUUUUCCUGUGAAAAAGGAGAAAGGUUUGAAUAAAUUGGAAUUAAGUACUAAACACUUCGAAAAGCAAUGUGGUAGUAUACCUGAAUAUACUUAUUCCAUGCAGCAUCUGUGGCAAUUACUACUUGAUGUUGAUGAUCCCACCUAAACUCCGGACGAUUCUUGAUUUUUCCCACUAUUCCAUAUUCACGUUUAUAAAUCUCGAAGCGAGCAUGCAAAUGUUUUUCUUCAUAUUUCAUGCCUGUUGCUUUAUUGAACUCGGUUACUAUAUCACGCCAGGAAUUAUUUUUAUAGUCUAGUAUUUUUCUCCCUCUUGAUUGAAUUUGCUUUACCAAUAAAUCAAGCAGUAUUAGAUCAUGCUUUUCUUCCCAUAUUACUGAAGGGCGAUACGUUAUUUUAAAGUAUCUCCAAAUUGGCUAUCGUACAAUUGUCACUUCCCCCCCACUCGCCGCGACCUCUUCGCCAGCCAAGGCGGCCGCCUUGUCCGUUGAAUAUUCUGCGGCCCCUCCCCUCGCCGCAUCCGCCUCUUUGGCCGGCGAACGGGUGUCCGUUGACGUCUCGGGUGGCGGGUCGUUUAAAUUUUCAAACCUCUCCGCUGUCCCCGCAUCCCUAGACAACGGUGACAUCAGGGCUGCAGACUGCCGCCUUCAGCUUUCACGCCCCCCUUUCGCCAGCUGUUUUGCUAACGCCUUUUUGGCCCCUGUACCCGCGAAGGGAAGCUUCGUAUCUCUAUCCCAGGGAUCCCUUCUGGCAGAAUUAGACAAAAGGAGCUCUGGGGGGAUUUUCUUCUCCCUCGGGAACCGGCGGAGUUUCUUCCUACGAUUCUCUACAUCCUUCUCGUUUUCUGUGCGGCCCCCCUCCAAACUAGUUGUCGGAUCUCUCGGAUCCCUCCUUCUGCAUGCUUCCUUCGGGUCGGAUGUGUGGUUCGGAUCCGCAAACCUUCUCUCCUGCCACCUGGGACCCAAUUGGACCCUUAUCCGGCGCCCUGGGCCAGACCUAAGCUCGGGCGGGCUUUCUGCGUCCACUAAUGCCCCAUGCUGGCUCCCACCCUCCUGGUGCUUGGGCUUGGGCCGCGGCUCGGGCCCGGGCUCGGCCACGGGCGGCCUGGACGCAGGCAUCGUAAUGGACUUGGGCGUGGGCUUCGGUGUCGACUUGGGUGCCGGGUCGGGUGCGGCCCUGCGCUCAGGCUCGGACGUGGGCUUGGAGGAGGGCUUCGACGAGGUCUUGUCUGCGGGCCUGGAACCGGACCGGGGCGAGGGCUUGGGUGCAGGCCCAGACGAGGAUUUGGAGACACGACUGGGCGCGAGCUCGGCCGACGACUUGGGCGCGGGAUCACCCACGGGCCUGGGCGCCUUUAAGGCUCCAAGCGACCUUGCGGGAGGUUUUGGACCGGUCGAGCUCGAGCGCCCUGAGGUGGCGCGCGGGGACAGCGGAGGCAGCGGAGGGGCGGCGUCGGAAGGCGGAGGCAGAGGAAGCGGUGGGGGUGAGGGUGUUCUUGGAGGCGGCGAAGAAGACGGAGAGAGGAGAAUGGGGGCUAUGGGUUUUACGGUUCGGGACGGAGGGGUGCGGGGUCUUGUAGUUGGAGACGUCGCGGAAGAUGUGGCCGCAGCCUGGGCCGUCGGGUCGGGCGUAGAGGGAGCAAGCUUCGCCAUGGGCAUGGGCGCAGACUGCGGCGCCGGGUCGGGCUCGGCCUUGGGAGCGGGCUCGGCCUCCAUCGUGGACUCGGGCGCAGAGUUUGGCGCCGGCUUGGGCGUGGCGUCGGGCUUCGAGGCGGGCCGGGGCGCGGCCUUGGCCGUGGGCUUGGGCGCAGACUUGGGCGCCGGCUUGGGCCAAGCCUUCAAGCCCAAGGGACCUUGCGGGCCGGGGCGCUUGGGGGCGGGCUCGGCCGACGGCCUAGGCGCGGGCUCGCCUGCGGGCCUGGGCACAGGCUUUCCAACCUGCAGCACCCACCUGGCCUUGAUUUCCACUUGCAGCCACCCUCCCAACUUGGACCGUCCCACCUCGGAUCCACCCAGAUCUAGCGGAAGAGUCCGCAGCCAGUUUCCUGGCUCUGUUUUACGCAAGGCCAUGCUCAGAAAGGCGCAACUACUCGAAGGCGACCCAGCUAUUCCCAGUCACUCUACGCGCAAAUGGUCCAAGAAAAAAGUUAAGGCGAAAGGUCUUCGCUGCGGGGUGGACCUUCAUGAAGAGGCCGUUAAGGACUUCCUUGAGUUCCUGAGUGGGAAGGCCUAGGAGCGGCUGGAGGAGCCGCGGGUGUUGUGUUUCGUGUGUCUUUCCUUUCUGAUGUUUAACAUUUUGUGUUGGAAUGUUCGGGGUCUCAACGACCCCUCUAAGCGCCGUUGUGUCAAGUCUGUUGUCUCCAGUCGUGUUCGUUCUGUCAUCUGUCUCCAAGAAUCUAAAGUGGAUAGUGUGUCUCGCUCUUUUCUUCGCUCUUGCUGCGGAUCUGCUUUUGAUAGAAGCCACUUUAUUCCUGCAUCUGGGGCUUCUGGUGGGCUCAUCACUUGUUGGAGCUCCAAAUUCUUCUCUUGUAGCGAGGUUAUCGUGAGAAAGCACUCUCUCACUCUCCAUCUAUCUUGUCUCAAGAGUAAAAAGCAUUUCUUCCUCACGAACGUCUACGGGCCAUCUACCUGGGACGGCAAGGAUGAAUUCUGUCUCGAGCUUCUCUCUUUACGCGGGGUUUGCACUUCCAACUGGGUGAUCUGCGGAGAUUUUAACUUUACCAAAAAUCAAUCUGAACGAAAGGGAAACCUCUGGAGCUCUAAGGCGAUGGCUAUGUUCUCUGAUCUGAUUUCCAACUUAGCGGUCAUAGAUCUCCCUCUGUCCAACCAAAGCUUCACUUGGUCGAACAUGCAACGCAGACCCACACUGGCAAAACUAGACAGGUUCCUCGUUUCAACUGAAUGGGACCAAUCUUUUCCUCACAGCAAGGUCAAAGCCCUCCCUAGGAUCACUUCCGAUCACGCACCGAUCAUCUUAUCCACCGAAGCGCAACUCAUACCCAGACGAUUCCGAUUCGAAAGGGUUUGGCUCACUAAAGAAGAUUUCCACUCGAAGGUGCCAAUCUGGUGGAAUGAAAUUGCUGACAAGAAUUCGGGUAUCCUCACAAUUACUGCCAAACUCAGACACUGACGAACCAGAAUUAAAGAAUGGUGUAAGACGAGUUUCUAUAGCAUAUCGCUCUCGAAGAAGAUUUUAGAGGACGAACUGCAUGACAUUGAUCUCUUAGAAGAACAACACGACCUCCCCCAAGAUCUAAUAGACAAGCGAGCCAAUCUCAAACGUCAUCUACUCUCUAUCUUGGGGGAGGAAGAAAUCCUUUGGAAAACUAGGGCCAAACAACAAUGGCUAAAGGAAGGCGACUCCAACACUAAAUUUUUUCAUGCAGUGGCUAACGGGCGAAAACGCUCCAACUCGAUUGAUGUGAUUGAAGACAACUACGGGAGAGAAAUCACCAACGAAGCUACCAAACGGUCAUUCUUCCUGCAAGCUUUUAAACAACGGUUUGGACAAGCAGACGACAGAGCGAUAUCUUAUGGGGAUUGGAGUAACCUUUACCUCUCUAAUAGACUGCACAAUGCUGACUCCCUUACGUCCCCCUUCACAAUCGAGGAAAUCAAAACCGCCACCUUCCAACUUGGAAGCGACAAGGCCCCGGGACCAGACGGCUUCCCCCUCUCCUUCUUCCAAACUUUCUGGGAGACUGUCAAAACGGAUAUUUUAAAAGUUUUCACUGACUUGCAAGAUAAUAAUCUCUUCACCGGCCCCUCAGACUACUCACUUCUUUGCCUAAUCCCGAAGAAAGAAGGAGCACGCAAGGCCAACGACUUUCGUCCAAUUAGCCUUAUCAAUAGCAUUCAAAAAAUCAUUUCCAAAGUCCUGGCUAACAGACUAGCCCCCACCCUGUCAUCUAUUAUCUCACCAACUCAAUCGGCUUUUCUCAAAGACCGGUUGCUGAUGGACUCGUUCGUAACAGCAAGUGAACUAAUUAACUGGUGUUCGAAGACUGGAAAGGAAUGUGUAUGCAUUAAAGCGGACUUUGAAAAGGCCUUUGACAACGUACGCUGGGACUUCCUGAAAAGCAUUUUGCACUGGCUUGGUUUCAACGACAAAUGGUGGGCAUGGGUUGAGCAGUGCAUCUGCAACGCCAAAGUAGCCAUUUUAGUCAACGACACCCCGACUGAUUGGUUUAAGAUGAGAAAGGGUCUUAGACAGGGCGACCCCCUCUCGCCCUACCUCUUUAUUUUGGUGGCUGACUGCUUAGCUAGAUUGACUGAUACUGCAAGGAAUAACAACCUUCUCCGUGGUAUUGGACCGUCCACUGAUUGUCAAACUACGCUGAUUCAAUACGCGGACGACACAAUUUUCUUCUCCGAGCCUAGAAAACACUUAAUGCGAAACCUACAGUUUAUUUGGUAUAUCUUCGAGUGGGCUUCAGGUCUGAAAAUCAACAUGGACAAAUCAGACCUGUAUUAUCUGGGCCCUAACCCCCAAAGAGCCAACAGACUUGCUAACAUCCUUGGAUGUAAAGUUGGGAAACUCCCGUUCCGCUACCUCGGUCUACCGCUUUAUAAUAAACACCUACGAACGGAAGAUUGGGCUCCGGUCAUUGAUCGCAUAUCAGCAAGAAUCGAGGGGUGGAAAGCCAAACUCCUAUCCUAUGGGGGUAGACUCACGCUCGUCAACUCGGUUCUCACUAACUUGCCGCUAUUUUAUUUCUCCAUCUACAAAGCGCCGCAAUGGGUUUUACACAGGAUCGAAUCACUUAGAAGAUCUUUCUUCUGGAAAGGCUGCGCUAGCAUCUCUGGAGGAGCCUGUCUUGUCAGUUGGAAGUCCAUCUGUAAAAGUAAGAAAGAAGGUGGGUUAGGGAUCAAAGAUUUGGAGGGAAUGAAUCUGGCGCUGCUAUCUAAAUGGUGGUGGCGCUUCUUCAACGAACCACAAUUACUGUGGCCCAAAUUGAUUUCAUGCCUCUAUUAUGUCAGAAGAAGACCUUUACAUGAGGGAAGAAGUUUUGUACCCCACUCGCAGUGGUGGAAAGGUGUUCUGCAAUGCCGCGACGCCUUCAAAUGCGGUUUAUCUUUUGAGCUUGGCGAUGGUCGGAACAUCAGGUUGUGGUCCGAUAUUUGGAUUGGUGAAACAUCUUUGAGCACCUUGUUUCCAGACAUCUACGCUCAAAUCGCGAACAAGAAAGCUCGGAUAUCUCAAUGCUGGAACCAUAAUGGAUGGAGAUGGCGUUUUAUCACUAGAGGCUUCGCGGCGCCCCGAUUGGCCCACAGUGGUAGACAGCUGCAAUUACUCAAAGACACACUUACAAGCAGACACCCGUGCAGCAGAGAAGACUCGUUUCGAUGGCGAUGGACCACCAAUCACCUGUUUUCGGUUAAAUCCCACUACCAGUUCAUCACAGAUGGGGGAUGUAGAGAUCGGUGGAAUCAACAUAUCUGGACCUUGAAGAUUCCAACCAAAAUUAGGAUCUUCAUCUGGACGUUGCUUCGAAAGAGACUUCUCACUUCCGACAGGCUGCUCACCAGAGGCAUGUCCGUAAAUCCGCUUUGUGUGCUAUGCGGGGUUCUCCCAGAAAGCUCUGAUCAUCUUUUCGCUAACUGCAUCUUUGUUCGCUUCCUUCUACUCUCUACUGGGGACCUCGAUGCACUUCUUGACACCACAGGAGCAGUGUGCAAUCUUUGGGCAAAAGUAUCGGAAACUACAAACGACGUGUUGAAACUUAAAGGCUUAACUCAUCUGGCGGCAACCUGGUGGGUCGUUUGGUCAGAUAGAAACUCGGCCAUCUUUCGGGACGCACCCCCAAACGCAGUCCACUCGGCGGGACGUAUCAACAGUUUGAUUCGAGACUGGAGUAUACUAACCUAACCUAACUCUUGUACUAGCUUACUUUGUUUCUUUUCUUCUUUUUUCUUUAUCUCUGUUUUCUCCUUUUGCCGUUUUCGGAGGCCGUCGUUGCUUCCACCCUGUACGCUUAAUUCAUCCCACUUUAUGAAUGAAGCAGGUAGCUCGCUACCUUUUUCUCAAAAAAAACAAUUGCAGAAAUUAACCUUUAGCAAGAGAUAAGUUUACCUCUCUAAUCAUGUUUUCUGCAUCAGAGAUAAUUGUUAAAGCUUCCAUAUUAUUUUAUAUAUAUAUAUAUAAAAUAAUAAAAAUUUAGAAAAAAUAUUUUUCAACUAUAUGCAAGCAAAAAAAUUUCUUAUGGCUAUAGCAUUUUCUACUGCAUCAAAUCAAAUAAGAUGCGUAUAGUUAUAAUUGCUGUAUUUGAACUGUAUGCAUCGAUCUUUAGUUAUACUGCAUCUCAUUCAACCAAACAAAAAAAACACUUAAGUUGCAAGUUAUACUAUUUGAUUCCAAUAUAAAUAUAAUGGUAGGAAAUAAAUUAAAGAAAUAACAAUAGAGAUCCGUUGGGAUUUAAUCUCCUACUCUAACAAUGUGAUCAAUUAAUCGUAUAAAGUAAUAAUUUAUAUCUAAGAACUUAUACUGCUAUAUUCAACAUGGAUAUGCACUAGUGAUUUGAGAAAUAUGGUUACCUCAUAACUAAGGGCUCGAGAAAGAGAUAGAGGAACUACCUGGGCCCUUGUUUCACUUGGAAGAGCUUGGGUGGCUUAAAUAGGAGAAACUAAAACUAUUUUUUUUUUUUGAUUAAACAGGGAUGAACCCUAUUUUACAGAGGGAGGAUCAGAAGAGAACAAGGUGCAUCCUAGAAACUAAAACUAUUAGGAUCAUGAUACCCUGGAAUAUUCCAUUUUUCCCUAGUUCUCACCUCCACCCAAAAAAUACAAAAGGUAAUUAAUGAGAAACAAGAAGAGCUAGCUUAAUUAAUGAGACAAACGUCCACUUGCAGUAUAGUUUAAGGUUUCAAAUUAUUUUAUUUUAUCCUCCAAGUUGCAUGGUGGAAAAAAUUUUUAAUGAUAAAUGCCGGAGACUAAGACGACUAGUCACGAAAUUAAUGCUUACUUUAAAUUGGCAUAGAAAAUGCAUGUGUUAAAUUCUUGAAUAGAAAAAGAACAUUGGGACAGCAUCCAAUGUUCUAUAAUGUGAAAUAAUAAUUAGUGUUCUGUAAUUAAAGAGCUAAUAAUGUCACAGGCCCAAGUGCUACUAGAAUCAUAUUCCAAGGUGUAAUUAGGUUCUUAAUCUCUUUUGCUUGAAAACUUAAUUGAAGUAAUUAGAAGGUUAGGUACUCAAUUGAAAAUCCGAAAAAAUAUCAAAUACAUAUCUAGUUGCAAUAAGUGAAAUCAUAUUUAAUGUCGAAUAAUGUGAAAAGAAUAUUUUUCUCUAAAAAGCGUAAGUUACUAAUUAAGAACGACUCACCGGGAAAAUAUUAGAGAUCAAUCUCCUACGUAAUUUACCUUCGUGUUUAAUCUCUCUCGAGGGAAUUCAUAUACUUGUGCAUAAAAUCCUGCAAAUCCACUAUUCUAUGCGUAGCCUUAUCAUACUGAUGUUGGAAUAAUGUCCUCUUUUGGUCCUCUUUAUUUAAUCUGGUUAUAGGUCUUCUUUAUUUAAUCUGCUUAUAUAUAACCGGAGAAAGCAAAAGCGUCCAUGAAUGAUAACAUGUGCUAAUCAGCAGUCUUAUCCACAAAGGUCUAAGUGGGUAGCAGUAGUGGAAAGUCAUCUUUGGGCACUAAGGCCUCGAAAAUCAAUGCAGAGACAAAUUUAUCCAGCUAGUAAAACGCUCUAAUAGUUCAACAGAGAAUGAAAAAAUAAUUUUAAUUAUAAUAUAUGAGACUUAUAUGUUAGUAACAGUAAUUAGAUUUAAAUAUUUUGGACCGGUAGUUAUAUGAGCCCAACGAGUUAUUGUUGCUAACAGUUCGGAUCGUUUUGAACUCAUAUGAGCUAUUUCUAUAAUCUCACAUUAAUCUAAUAUUGCCUGAUAAUUCUAUUCUAUUUUAUAUCUAUUUUAUUCUAUUUCGAAUCGAUGGUUUGAGCCGAAUAAAGUAUUAUCGCUAGCGGUUCGGAUCGUUGUAUAUCUAUCCUUUUUAUUUUUUGGCAUAGACUGAUUAAUUGGUUCUUCCACUGGGUAGCUCCUAGUACUGCCGGCUUCCGAAAUUGAGUCGGAUGCGCGGCUGCAUGCGACUGGUGGAACUGAAACCACCUCUCCUGCCGUUACUUAAUUCCCUCUACCAACUCCGCACCUCUCUUGCCCUUACUUCCCUCUACCAACUCCGCCCUCCAAUGGACGGAUACAUAUUAUAUACUUGACCAUAUCCGAACGCUUCUUCGGUGAGCGUGCGUGCGCAAAGAGUCCGCGCGCGUGCAUGUGCCACCGCCCCCAUAAAAAUACUACCACUUGGUGUGAGAAUCUAUGGAAAUACUCGCCCGGUGUGUAGUAGUAUAUGUAUUUCGUACACACUACCUCUAAAAUUAAAAUCUUCUCAUGAAAUCCUCACAUCUAUUGAAAAGUGAUGUGGUAGUAUAUCUUGAUAUAUUUAUUCCAAUUAGCAUAUUUAGCAAUUACUAUUUUACGUUGAUGUUCCCAGCUAAAUUUUGGAUGAUGCCGAAUACGGUUCACUAUAUGAUAUUCACGUGCGUAAAAAUUAAAACGCUCGUACAAAUGUUUAUCUUCGUAUUUCAAGCGUGUUGCUUUAUUGAACCUGGCCACUAUGUCACGCCAAGAAUCAUUUUCAAAGUCUAGACUUUCUGUCCCUCCAUUUUGAAUUUUCUCUACCAACAAACCAAGCAAUAUUUUAUCAUGCUCUUUUUCUCAGAUUGCUAAAGGCCGAUCUAUUAUUAUAAUUCUUUUUCUUUUUCAAAUUAUAUUUGGCCUCUCUCUUCUGUAAAUGCAAGUGAAUCAAAAGCCAUAUAAUUUAAGAAUUUAAUUUACUACCCAAGAAAUAAAGACAAUUCUGAACUUAAGGCCAAAAAUAUAUAUAUAUCAAGGAGAAUAAACAAAGGCAUGGGUAAAGAUAGUACAGUAGCAACGAUAAUAAACGAACGAGAUAUAUAUAUAUAAANUUUAAAAUUUUUCUUAUAUGAAAUGCCAAAUUAUAAAAGGAAAGAUAGAGAGAGAAAAAGAAAACAAAGAAAAAAUAAAAAUUUUGAAAAUAUAGUAGAUGUAAAAUGACUAAAUUGUCUAUGUAUUAAAAGACAAAAAUAUUCUUUUUUGAGGUACCUGGUAACCGGUACCUCGUCCAAAGUGACUUGCUAUUGCAGGUCACAAUUUUAAAAAAACUAAAUCUAAGCCGUUAAAUACGCGUGAAUGAACGGUAACCAAAAAAAAAAAGUAUAGAAGCAUUACUCAUGUGUUAAAUUCUUGAAUAGAAAAAGAACUACACUGGGACAGCAUCCAAUGUUAAGUAAUGUGAAAUAAUUAAAAAAAAUUUUUAAUUAAAGAGCCAAAGCUGUCGCAGGCCCAAUGCUAUUAGGAUCAUACCCUCGAAUAUUCCAAGGCGUAAUUAGGUUCCUUAAUCUCUUUUGCUUGAAAACUUAAUUGAAGUAAUAAUUAGAAGUUUAGGGACUCAAUUAAAACUCCGAUGAAAACAAAUCAAAUAUCUAGUUGCAAACAAGUGAAACCAUAUUUAAUGUCGAAUAAUAUGAAAAAAAUAUUUUUCUCCAAAAGCGCAAGUUACUAAGAACGAUGUUACUCGUGAAAGGUCAAAUAUCCAAUUGCGAGCCAAUUGCAAUAAUUAGAUGGCUAGCGACGCACCGGAAAAAUAUUAGAGAUCUCCUACGUAAUUUACCUUCAUGUUUAAUCUCCCUCCAGGGAAUUCAUAUACCUGUGCAUAAAAUCCUGCAAAUCAACUAUUCUAUGCGUAGCCUUAUCAUACUGCUGUUGGAAUAAUUAAUGACCACUUUUGGUCUUCUUUAUUUAAUCUGCUUAUUCCAUGAAUGAUAACAUCUCCUAGUCAGCGGUCUUAUCCACAAAGGUCUCAGGGUGUAGCAGUGGAAAGUCAUCUUUGGGCACUAAGGUCUCAAUAAUCAAUGCAGAGACAAAUUUAUCCAGUACAAUGCUCGAAUAGUUUAACACGAAUGAAAAAAAUAAUUUUAAUUAUAAUAAAUGAGACCUACCUAUUAGUAAUAAUAAUUAGACUUAAACAUUUUGCACCGAUAGUUUGGGCCCAAUGAAUUAUUAUUACUAACGGUUCGGAUCAUUUUGAAUCCGUAUGAGUCACCUCUAGAAUCUCAUAUAAAUCUAACGUCAUCUGAUAAUUCUAUUCUAUUUUGUAUCUAUUUUAUUUUGUUUCGAACCAAUAAUUUGAGCCGAAUAAAGUAUUAUUGGUAACGAUUCGGAUCGUUGUAUGUCCAUUCUCCCACUGGGUAUCUCCUGCUGCUGGCUUCCCAAAUUGAGUGGGAUGCGCGGCUGCAUGUGCAACUGAAACCAUGCACCUCUCCUGCCCUUACUUCCCUAUGCCAAAUCCGCCGUCCAUUCGACGGAUAUAUUUGGCCAUAUCCGAACGCUUCUUCGGUGAGCGCGCUCCCGUACGAGUUCGGCACCGCCCCCAUAAAAAAACUACCAUUUGGUGUGAGAAUCUUUGGAAAUACUCGCCGGGUGUAUAGUACAGUAUAUGUAUUUCGAACACCCUACCUAAUUCAUAAAUUUUGAUAUCAAAUAAUCAUGAAUUGAGAUUGGCAAAUUAUAUCUUCAAUAGUUAUAACAUCAAGUUCACAUUCACAUACACAAACAUCAAGUAGGAAAAUUGAAAUAUUAACACGUUAUAUUAUUGUAGAAGAUAACUAUUGCAAGGAGAAGGGACAUUCAAACCUGCCUCACAGUGGUGAAAAAAAUAGUGAGUCAAGUAUUACAAUCCACAACAACUAAGAGAGAGAGAGAGAGAGAGAGAGAGAGAGAGAGAGAGAGAGAGAGAUACGGUACAGAAAAAAUAGUGAGAAGAGGGAGUAUAUUAGAGAGGAUGUAGUGAAAAAGAAGAAGCAGAAUAGUCAUGAUGUUUCAAUAAUUUCACAUUGGAUUAAAAAAAAAAUUGCAUACAAAUCUCACAUUAUGUGUAAUUUAAUAAUUGCUCCGACAAGAACGUAGUUUAGGGGACCGGGAGGUCCCUGCCCUCCUCCUCCAUCACCCUUAUCUCUCUCUCCUGCCCAUCCCCACUGUUCCCCCCAUUUUUUUAACUUCCAGUCCACAGUCUUAUCUCUCUCCUACCCAUCCCCACGGUUUCCCCCUUUUUUUUAACUUUCAGCCCACAGUAUGUUAGGAUAAACUCAUAUUCAACUUUUGUAAAUAUAGAUGUCAAAAUUUAGCAUCUAAUAUAUAUAUAUAUAUAUAUAUAUAUAUAUGAGUAAUACUUCAAUACAUCAUAUAGAUGUUGACCAUUUAGUUUUCUUAAUAGAUGGUUUAGAUUUAAUGUGAUUCUAGAGGUGACUUGCUAUUGAAGUAUAGGUACCAUUCACAAGGUACCUAUUUAAAGAGUAUUUUAGUCUUUGUAAAAUAAUUUGGUCUACAAAACCAGUUUUAUUUAACUAAAAAUAUUGUGACCCUCUUAAAUACCUACAACAAUAGUUGAAUUUCAAAUUACAACAAAACUGUAAAUUUAAAUUCAAAACAACAUUUUAAACUUUAUAAAUUAAAUUUAAUUUUUUUAAAUAUAAAACACAGAUUUAAAAUAAAAAUUUUAGUUCCAAUUCAAAAUUUCAAUUUAAAUCAAAAAUUAAAAUUUGGCUUCAAGAUUAAAAGUUCAAUUUAGAUUCAAAUUUAAAAGUUUAGUAUAAAUUUCAAAAUUAAAAUUUUACAUUACAAUACCAAUUUCAAAAAUUAAAUUUAAAUUCAAUAUUUUUUUGAGCUGAAUACUUAACAAAUUAGGUAUCAUCUAAUUUGGUAAGUUAUCAAAAUAAAUAAAAUAUUUAAUAUUUAAAGAAUGCUGACAAAUUUAGUAUAUAGUAAUUUUUUUUUCUAAUAUUGUCAUGUUAACUAAUUCAAAUCGGUAACCUGUUCAACAGGUUACUUCACGUAAAUCCCAACUACACCCUUUACUAAUUAAGAGAUUAAAUUUUAAUAUUUAUGGUGUAUAGAAGCAUUCCUUUAUAUGAGCUAGGCUGGUAUACUAUCGGUAGCACGGAGGCCUCCGUGCUACCAAGUUGUUUUCAAUGAUGCGGCUUCCAAAUUGACGAUCGGCUUCGUUAGACUUGAUAUACACUAUUGAAAGCAUUUGGAAACUAAAUUUUGUAAUUUUUCGAUAUCAUUUGGCUAGUGAUCAAAAGUCUCAAAAUUUAUAAUUUUAAUGGUAAAUUUGAUGCGUUUGUGAAUUCAAUGGUGUAAAACAAUCCAAAUUUGAUGAAAUUUUUAUAGAAAAUUCUUUUCAGUAUUUAGAAUAAGAUCAGUAUCUUUAAUUUUAAAUUCAAGUCUUUUAUAAUCAUUUUUUAUGAGAUUUUCAUUUUCAGCCGUUUAUUUUUAGACUACUCGUUUGAUUGGUAAAUGACGCCGAAAAAUUAUGAAAUUUAGUUUUCAAAUACUUUCAAUAGUGUAGAUUAAGUCUAACGGAACCGAUCGUCGAUUUAUAAGCCGCAUCAUUGAAAACAACUGGGUAGCACGGAGACAUCCGUACUACCGAUAGUAUACCUGCCUAGCUCUAUAUAUAUAUAUAUAUAUAGAUGGUAGCUAAUAACAUAAUCAUAAAAGGACCAUCGGAUAAAAUCAACCAAAUAGUAUAUUCUAAGAUGAUGCACAGUUGAAUCCAUGAGAAUUGACACUCGAUAUAAUUGAAAUAAUUCCCAUGUACGUUUACUUUGUGUGCAUAAUAGUCGAGUAACACAUUAUUCUUGUCAAAUAAUUGUUUGCUUUAUUACAAUGCAUAUGAAGAGUUUGUAGAUGACAAUGAACAAAAUAUAUAUAUGAAAAUAUAGUAUUGUUGUUCUCCUCCUAAAAGCUCUGCUUCGGGUUCUACCUGCGCGAAUGCCAAAAAAGUUUGAAUCGAUUCAAGCAUCAAAAAUGAUAGUAUUUGAUAAAUAAUAAUAAUAAUAAUAAUAAAAAUAAAAAAUACGGUUAGUAUACCUCGAUAUAUCGAUUCUAUUCAUCAUCUUUAGCAUUUACUACAAGACGUCGAUAAUCCCACCUAUGUAUUGGCUGUUGCUCCAUGUCAUUCACCAUUUCAUAUUCAGCCGUAAUCUUCGACUUCAUAAUUCGAUGUUGUUGUCUUGCUGAAUCUAGCCAAUAUGUUACGCAAAGCAUCCAUUUUAAAACCUUGUCCGGAGAGUCUCUCCCGCCAUCAUGCACAUGUUUUACCAUCAAAUCAAGCAGCGUUUUGGGGUAGUUCUUNAUUGCAUGCACAAUGAUCUCCAUCUCAUUGGCAAAGUCAAGUUCCACAAUGGAGUCCAGCAGCUCUACACAAUCCCUCUCCACCAGCUCUAUAUGGACACAUUGUGUUCUUCAGAUAAUCACAUUCAAUUUAGAACAUCUAAUGACUCAACUGUGAAAUUAUUGCAGAAGCAUGAAUUAUAAGCUUACACUACAAUCUAAUAGUAGAUGCUAAUACAACACAAAUUUAAACAGAUAAGAAGUUGCAAGUGAAAAAUACAGCAUAACAAUGUUUGUCUCAGUCACGAGACAAGAUUAUUGUGAAAUUGUUGAGAUCUCCUAGGUAGAGAAUGAAGAGAUUACAACACUGUUUUUAUUUCAAGAGAGUCACUCAUUGGAAAUCACGACAUUUUAUUUUUUUUUCUCGACAAACACAAUUUCAUAUAAAUUAAUAUGCGGUACUGCUCUCCUUCGAUAGGGCUUCGCACUGGGAUUUCCCUGUGAAAAAGGAGAAAGGUUUGAAUAAAUUGGAACUAAGUACUAAACACUUCGAAAAGCAAUGUGGUAGUAUAUAUACCUCAAUAUAUUUAUUCCAUUUAGCAUCUGUGGCAAUUACUACUUGACGUUGAUGAUCCCAGCUAAACUCUGGAUGAUGCUUGAUGUUGUGCACUAUUCCAUAUUCACGUUCAUAAUAACUGAAGCGAUCAUGUAAAUGUUUGUCUUCAUAUUUCAUGCCUGUUGCUUCAUUGAACUUGGCUACUACAUCACGCCAGGAAUUAUUUUUAAAGUCUAGUAUUUUUCUCCCUCUUGAUUGAAUUUGCUUUACCAAUAAAUCAAGCAGUACUUGAUCAUGCGCUUUUUCCCAUAUUGCUGAAGGCCGACCCGUUAUUUUAAUCUUUUUUCUUCCCAAAAUUUCUUUUGGCCACUGUCUCCUGUAAGUACAAACUAGUAAAUAAAAGGGAUACCACAAUGUAUAAUUUUAAGAAUUUUACUGCCCAUGAAAAAAAAAAACAUUCUAAUCCUAAGGGGAAAAAAAAAUUAUAACCAUUAUCACUGUAUAUCAUAUAACUAUUCAUAUAGCUUUAACUAAUAAUUUUUUUUUUUUUUUUUUUUUUUGACUUUUCAAAUUACGCACGUACCAUGAUAUAUUGACAAGGAUCAGACUAAAACGGAAUGAGCUAUUCCUAUUUUACUUUUGUGGUGUAAUUAAUCAUGACCGUUGAUUCAAGGAACUCACUUCAUUAAUUGGACUUGUAUUGGAAUCGCUUCAUUUAAUAAAAUCCACCCAAAACCAGAGAAAUCAAUUCAAAUCAUGGCCUAGUUAAGAUUCCAAAAAAAAAAAGAAAAAAAGAGAAAAAAAAUCAAUAAAAAAUGAAUUGUAAUUCAAGAAUUAAUAUAGAUACUCUACGUAGAAAAUUAACAGUGGGAAUUUACACAAAGCAACCUAUAUUCCCGCUAUUAACACAUCCAAUUAGAAAUGAAAGAAAAAAAAUUCAAAGGACUGAGAAAAAACAAGCUACUUACUCAUCACUGUCGCUACGGGCUCCCCCUUGUAUGCACUCAAGUUGAAGGAUGGACCCAUUCUGGAUUCCGUAGUGGGCCAAUGAUCUCUCUAUCUCCAUCAGUGGACUGCCAUUGAAAUCAAGAUCAAUAUCCCACAAUCCCGACUGUAGCACCUCAUGAGGAACAAGAGUGAUUAACACAUCCUCGAUGGUGUGGGAUUUUUCCACCUCAAGCACAAAAUUUCCGUAAUUUUCUGACCGCACAAAGAUUUUCAUUUCACCACCGCCGUUGGGUCUCCUGGAAGGGCCGGGGAUUGCAUUUCCCGUCUUGGCUAUUACUUUAGAACUAGCAAAGUUGCACAUGUAAUGGACGUUAGCUUAUUUAAUUGUGGUAUGUAAAUUCAAAUUUAAUAUUUAAUUUGAUAUAUUUGAAUCUAAUCGUUAAUUGCAGUUGAAACUGCAUGAAGAAACCCAACUGUACGUAAUAGUUGAAAGUAUCUCCAAAUUGGCUAUCGUACCAACUGUACCAAUUGUAACAAUUGCAGAUAUUAACCUUUCGCAAGAGGUAAGUUUACCAGAUCUCUAAUCAGUUUUUUAACAGAAAAAUAUUUUUGUUUUCUACAUCUGAGAUAAUUUUACCACUAUAUAAUAAUAAUAAUAAUAAUAAUAAUAAUAAUAAUAAUUUAGAAAAAUAUUUUUCAACUAUAUGCAAGCAAAUAAAUUAUUUAUAACUAUAGCAUUUUCUACUGCAUUAAAUCAAAUACGAUGCGUAUAGUUAUAAUUGCUGCAUUUGAACUGCAUGCGUCCAUCUUUAGCUAUGCUGCAUCUCAUUCAACCAAACAAAAAACACAUUUAAAAGUUACAUGUCACCUUAUUUGAUUCCAAUAUGUAUGUGGUAGGAAACGAAAUGACACUAGAGAUCUGCUAGGAUUCGAUCUCCUAUUCUAACAAUGUGAUUAAUAGUAUAAAGUAAUAAUUUAUAUCUAAGAACUUAAACUGCUAUAUUCAACAAGGAUAAGCACUAGUGAUUUGAGAAAAACAUCGUACCUCAUAACUAAGGAAGAAAGAGAGAGAGAGAGAAACUACUUGGACCUUGUUUCAACUUUGGAAGAUUGGGUGGCUUAAAUAGAAGAAACUAAAACUUUUACCUGUAUAUAUAAAACCUUCCCUAGUUUCCAUUUUACCCCAGUUCUCACCCCCACCCAAAAAAUUCAGAAGGUAACUAAGAGACAAGCGUCAAUUUGCAGUCAAGUUGAAGGUUUCAAAUUUUUUUAUCCUCCAACGACGUGGUGGAAAAUUUUUAAUGAUAUAUGGCGUACGUAGACUAUUGACGACUAGUCACGAAAUUAAUGCAUACUUUAUUUAAAUUGGCGUAGAAAAUGUGUUAAAUUCUUGACUAGAAAAAGAACUACACUGGGACAGCAUCCAAUGUUAAGUAAUGUGAAAUAAUUAAAAAAAAUUUUUAAUUAAAGAGCCAAAGCUGUCGCAGGCCCAAUGCUAUUAGGAUCAUACCCUCGAAUAUUCCAAGGCGUAAUUAGGUUCCUUAAUCUCUUUUGCUUGAAAACUUAAUUGAAGUAAUAAUUAGAAGUUUAGGGACUCAAUUAAAACUCCGAUGAAAACAAAUCAAAUAUCUAGUUGCAAACAAGUGAAACCAUAUUUAAUGUCGAAUAAUGUGAAAAAAAUAUUUUUCUCCAAAAGCGCAAGUUACUAAGAACGAUGUUACUCGUGAAAGGUCAAAUAUCCAAUUGCGAGCCAAUUGCAAUAAUUAGAUGGCUAGCGACGCACCGGAAAAAUAUUAGAGAUCUCCUACGUAAUUUACCUUCAUGUUUAAUCUCCCUCCAGGGAAUUCAUAUACCUGUGCAUAAAAUCCUGCAAAUCAACUAUUCUAUGCGUAGCCUUAUCAUACUGCUGUUGGAAUAAUUAAUGACCACUUUUGGUCUUCUUUAUUUAAUCUGCUUAUUCCAUGAAUGAUAACAUCUCCUAGUCAGCGGUCUUAUCCACAAAGGUCUCAGGGUGUAGCAGUGGAAAGUCAUCUUUGGGCACUAAGGUCUCAAUAAUCAAUGCAGAGACAAAUUUAUCCAGUACAAUGCUCGAAUAGUUUAACACGAAUGAAAAAAAUAAUUUUAAUUAUAAUAAAUGAGACCUACCUAUUAGUAAUAAUAAUUAGACUUAAACAUUUUGCACCGAUAGUUUGGGCCCAAUGAAUUAUUAUUACUAACGGUUCGGAUCAUUUUGAAUCCGUAUGAGUCACCUCUAGAAUCUCAUAUAAAUCUAACGUCAUCUGAUAAUUCUAUUCUAUUUUGUAUCUAUUUUAUUUUGUUUCGAACCGAUAAUUUGAGCCGAAUAAAGUAUUAUUGGUAACGAUUCGGAUCGUUGUGUGUCCAUUCUCCCACUGGGUAUCUCCUGCUGCUGGCUUCCCAAAUUGAGUGGGAUGCGCGGCUGCAUGUGCAACUGAAACCAUGCACCUCUCCUGCCCUUACUUCCCUAUGCCAAAUCCGCCGUCCAUUCGACGGAUAUAUUUGGCCAUAUCCGAACGCUUCUUCGGUGAGCGCGCUCCCGUACGAGUUCGGCACCGCCCCCAUAAAAAAACUACCAUUUGGUGUGAGAAUCUUUGGAAAUACUCGCCGGGUGUAUAGUACAGUAUAUGUAUUUCGAACACCCUACCUAAUUCAUAAAUUUUGAUAUCAAAUAAUCAUGAAUUGAGAUUGGCAAAUUAUAUCUUCAAUAGUUAUAACAUCAAGUUCACAUUCACAUACACAAACAUCAAGUAGGAAAAUUGAAAUAUUAACACGUUAUAUUAUUGUAGAAGAUAACUAUUGCAAGGAGAAGGGACAUUCAAACCUGCCUCACAGUGGUGAAAAAAAUAGUGAGUCAAGUAUUACAAUCCACAACAACUAAGAGAGAGAGAGAGAGAGAGAGAGAGAGAGAGAGAGAGAGAGAGAGAGAUACGGUACAGAAAAAAUAGUGAGAAGAGGGAGUAUAUUAGAGAGGAUGUAGUGAAAAAGAAGAAGCAGAAUAGUCAUGAUGUUUCAAUAAUUUCACAUUGGAUUAAAAAAAAAAUUGCAUACAAAUCUCACAUUAUGUGUAAUUUAAUAAUUGCUCCGACAAGAACGUAGUUUAGGGGACCGGGAGGUCCCUGCCCUCCUCCUCCAUCACCCUUAUCUCUCUCUCCUGCCCAUCCCCACUGUUCCCCCCAUUUUUUUAACUUCCAGUCCACAGUCUUAUCUCUCUCCUACCCAUCCCCACGGUUUCCCCCUUUUUUUUAACUUUCAGCCCACAGUAUGUUAGGAUAAACUCAUAUUCAACUUUUGUAAAUAUAGAUGUCAAAAUUUAGCAUCUAAUAUAUAUAUAUGUAUAUAUAUAUGAGUAAUACUUCAAUACAUCAUAUAGAUGUUGACCAUUUAGUUUUCUUAAUAGAUGGUUUAGAUUUAAUGUGAUUCUAGAGGUGACUUGCUAUUGAAGUAUAGGUACCAUUCACAAGGUACCUAUUUAAAGAGUAUUUUAGUCUUUGUAAAAUAAUUUGGUCUACAAAACCAGUUUUAUUUAACUAAAAAUAUUGUGACCCUCUUAAAUACCUACAACAAUAGUUGAAUUUCAAAUUACAACAAAACUGUAAAUUUAAAUUCAAAACAACAUUUUAAACUUUAUAAAUUAAAUUUAAUUUUUUUAAAUAUAAAACACAGAUUUAAAAUAAAAAUUUUAGUUCCAAUUCAAAAUUUCAAUUUAAAUCAAAAAUUAAAAUUUGGCUUCAAGAUUAAAAGUUCAAUUUAGAUUCAAAUUUAAAAGUUUAGUAUAAAUUUCAAAAUUAAAAUUUUACAUUACAAUACCAAUUUCAAAAAUUAAAUUUAAAUUCAAUAUUUUUUUGAGCUGAAUACUUAACAAAUUAGGUAUCAUCUAAUUUGGUAAGUUAUCAAAAUAAAUAAGAUAUUUAAUAUUUAAAGAAUGCUGACAAAUUUAGUAUAUACUAUUUUUUUUUUCUAAUAUUGUCAUAUUAACUAAUUCAAAUCGGUAACCUGUUCAACUGGUUACUUCAUGUAAAUCCCAACUACACCCUUUACUAAUUAAGAGAUUAAAUUUUAAUAUUUAUGGUGUAUAGAAGCAUUCCUUUAUACACUACAAGAAGUUUAACUUUUAGCAAAAUUUAACUAGUAACAUUUCACUAAGUGACAAAAAUUAUAAUAUUUAGCAAUAUUUAUUUAUUAGUGUUGCUAAAUGUACUUAUUUACCAAUAUUUAGGUGUAAAUGUUGCUAUAUAUAAAUAACACCAACACUAAGAAUUAAAUGUUACAAUGUUUAGCAACACUUUUUUUGAUAAAUGACAAUUAGUUUUUCAAAUUUUGAAAAGCCCUUCAAAAUUUUAAAAUUUCAUCUUUCCCUCCUUUAGUGAUAUUUUUUUCCAUCUCUCUUUCAUUUCUUUGUCUCUUCACUUUAAACUCUCAAGAGAUUUUUUUACUCUCAUGGUUUCUUCUUUUAUUCCUUCAUUCCACAAAGUCUUUCUCACCAAUUUUUUUAUUUUGUAAGAUUGGAGGAAAAAACAUUGGAUCGGACUAUCAAUUUUGUUUCCAGAGAUAAGUAAGUAUCCCUUUCUUGUAAGGUAAAACAAUUUCAUAUUAAUUCCAAAUCAAAAUCAUAGAUUUGAAAUUUUCUUUUCUUUUUUUCUUAACUAAUAAAGUUUAUUAUGACUAGAAUAGGAUUACUCUUCAACCUUUUGGUUCGUCGUUACAUUAAUUUAUUGUAUUAUGUGGUAUGAUAUAUAUGAGGUUUUUGUUUCUUAACUUUCAUCAACCUUUUUUUUUAUAUUUUUUACUUUUAGAUAUUAAAUUUGUUCUUAUUACAUUACUAUCAUUUUAAUUUAAUUUUUUUAUUUUUUUAGAAAAUAUCAUUUAUUUUGAAAAUGUUCGAACAAAUAUAUGAUCUUUUAUAAUUUGAUAAGGGCAAUAUAUUUUAUCUUUUAGUAGUUCAUAGUAUCCUAUAUUUUAUGAUAAAUUUCUUAAAUCUUUUCAUUUUACAUGUUAAGCAAUUAAAUAGAGGCUACAAGAUUGUUUCAUUCAAGCAUUUUGGAGACUUCUACAACAAAUAAGGAUGACUAAUUUUUUAUUUUAUCGUGAUCGAAUUUGUAAUUAUGAGGAAACUCAUUUAGUUUUGUAUCAAAUGUGUUAUUUGAUUUGUAAUAUAUUACAAGUUUUGAUUGUCAUAUGAUAUACAUGAGAUUUUUAGUGUUUAUGGUUGUUGUCCAUUUUGACUAUCAAUGGAGUAAACAACUUGUGAGUACUAUAGAACUAUAGAAUUUCUUAUUAUAGUUAUAAUUAUUUUUUAAAAUAUAUUAGAUUAUUACCGAUUAAUCAUAAAUUUUUUAAAUAAUAAUUAUUUAAUGUUAAUAUAAUAUAUAUUUUUACCAAUAAUUCAAAAUGCUAUUAUACGUAAUUGUUUAGUAAUAUUUGAUUAUUAUUAACUAUGAUUAUAAUAAUUAAUCAAAAAUUAAUAAUAUUUUAAUUUAAUUAAUAUCAAAAUUUAUAAUUAAUAAAAUAUUUUUAUUUAAUUCAAAAAAUAAUAGCUAAAUUAAUACAAGAAUUAAUUAAACAAUAUGCACCACCAUUUAAAAGUUGCCCCAUUAAAUUUUUUUUUUUUUAGCAACUUUUGUUAACUGUUGCUAAUUCUUGAGCAUUAGCAACACUCUCUCCAAAUGUUGCUAAAAGAUUAAACAUCACGGGCAUAGACAACACUAAAAGUUAAGUGUUGCUAAAAGAUUUAGUUACAUUUCUUAUUCAUUUAGCAACAUCUAUAAAUGUCACUAAAUCUAAACUUUCUUGUAGUGAUAUGAGCUAGGCUGGUAUACUAUCGGUAGCACGGAGGCCUCCGUGCUACCAAGUUGUUUUCAAUGAUGCGGCUUCCAAAUUGACGAUCGGCUUCAUUAGACUUGAUAUACACUAUUGAAAGCAUUUGGAAACUAAAUUUUGUAAUUUUUCGAUAUCAUUUGGCUAGUGAUCAAAAGUCUCAAAAUUUAUAAUUUUAAUGGUAAAUUUGAUGCGUUUGUGAAUUCAAUGGUGUAAAACAAUCCAAAUUUGAUGAAAUUUUUAUAGAAAAUUCUUUUCAGUAUUUAGAAUAAGAUCAGUAUCUUUAAUUUUAAAUUCAAGUCUUUUAUAAUCAUUUUUUAUGAGAUUUUUAUUUUCAGCCGUUCAUUUUUAGACUACUUGCUUAAUAGGUAAAUGAUACCGAAAAAUUAUAAAAUUUAGUUUUCAAAUACUUUCAAUAGUGUACAAUUCAAGAUCUACAGAGCCUGAUCGCCGAUUUGGAAGCCGCAUCAUUGAAAACAACUUGGUAGCACGGAGACCUCCGUGCUACGAUAGUAUACCAGCCUAACUCUAUAUUAUAUAUAAUAUAUAUAUAUAUCGUAUAUUAUUUAAAUUAAAAUAUUUAAUUAAAUAUGUUUUCCUUUUUUCAGAAAAUAUUAAUGUUAAUAUAAGUAAUAGAAAAAUAAAAUCUAAUUUAUAUUGAAUCUAAAUAUAUUUUCACCCUACCCACCAAAUAAAAAAAAAAAGCGGAAAACAAGUAUAGCGGCUAAUGAGUGAGCUAAUUAUAGGAACUCUAAGUUGCGGCGUGUUUUCGCGGUUUCAAUAAUUUUUUUAUCCUUCAACUCGGUGAAACGGAAUUUAAAGUGGUGCGCGACUGCGAUUGAUUAGUGCGUGCGCAAAUUAGGCAUACUUUAAGGUAUCGUUUGGUCAGGAUAAGCAAAAAGUGGCUAUUUCAGUGAUAGGUAUAAAUUGAGGUAUAUUGCGUUUGGAUGAAAAUUGGGUUAUUUCUGGUGAAUAAAAAAAUAGCGUUUUGUUAGGUAAGAUGGAAUAAGAAGAUAGUUGGUUUUUAUAAAUAAAAAUAAUGAUAUUAUCUUUAUUUAUAUUUGAAUUUAAUUUUUAAAUUUUUAAUUUUAAAUUUCAACUUUGAAAUUUUAAAAAUUAAAAUUUAAAAUCUCUAUUUUAAAUUCAAAAUUUUAAAUUUUAAAUUUCAAACUUUAAAUUUAAGAUCAAAUUUCAAUUUAAAAAUAUAAUAAUAUCAAAUUUUUAAUUCAAAUUUUUAAAUAUCAAAAAUUAAUUUAAAAUUUAUAAUUAUAUUUAUUUAAUUAUUAACUUUAUUUGAGAGAUUAUAAAUAUAUAUUUUAAAAUUUAAAUUUCAAAAUUUAAAUUUUAAAAUUUUAAAUAAGAAUAGGAGUGGAACAUUAAUAAAAAUAUUAUUAUAAUAAAUUAUAAUUUUUUUAAAAUUCUACUUAAACUUAAAUUUAAUAAAAAUAAUUUAUUAUAAUAUUCAAAUAUAAUUUAUUAUAAAUUUUAUUAUAAUAUUUAAAUAUAAAUAAUAUUUAUUAAUAUAGUACAAUUAAUAAUUGUAUAAUAAAAAUAAUGUAUUAUAAUAUAUAAGAUAUUAUAUUUAUAUAAUUUAGUUUUAAUUCAAUUUAUAAUUUUAAUUAAGUUUGAAAUUAAGCAUUGGAAUAGCAUUAUUCCACCAAAAUGGUGGAAUAGUAAAUCUCUUGUUAUUCCGGGAUAAUCGGGAAUAGCAAGGUUUGACCGGGAUAAAAUAUUCCGGCCAAAUUUCACCCCGUUUGGCGGAAUUGUGGGGAUAACUUUCGUUAUCCCCGCUUAUCCCCCGAACCAAACCGGGCCUAAGAGUUAAUUGCGUUAGAGUUACUUUAACUUUUGUGAUUUAAAAUUUUAUUUUAAUUAGAGGAGGCGCCGGAUACUCAAUAGUGUUACCAUAAUUAUAAAAAACUCCUUGACUGUACCUUCUGCCAGCCGAGGGUCCGGAUCCUCAAGCAAGGUCCGGACCCCCAACCUCAAUUUCGCGAUGUGCCCAGGCAUGAUCCGGACCCUCUCGCAAGGUCCGAACUCCUCAAAUUAAUUUCAGAAUUUUCACAGACAGGGUCCAAACCAUGCGUCAAGAUCCGGACCUUAAUGUUUGAGCUCAUAGAGAAAGAUCAAGAUCCAGGUCCUUAAGUCUAGAUUUGGAUACCGAGAGUACAAUAGCUCAGAAACACUUUUUCUAAAAAUUUUCAUUCCUUGGAUCUCCUAGUGACUUUAAAAAUCUUAGAUCAUACUUAAUAGUAUGAAUUAUUGAUUCAAAAGUUUUAUUAUUGAAAUAAGACUACAAUACAAAAAUUUUUGUGCUGUUAAUAGAACCCGAGCUAAACUUUAUGCUCGAAUCUUCAAAACUUUUGAGAGAAUUCACAUAUUCGAAAUCAGCUCAAAGAAGAAUUUUAAAAAUUCACCCAGUAAACGCAAGAAAUUAAUCAUUUUCUCAUAUGGACAAGCCUCUCUUCAAAUAAUAUCAACUAAAAAACAAACGAAUCCUUCAAAUAAUUAAGCCCCAUCAAAAUAAUUAACAAAUACUAAUUUAACCUGAAAACUUUAUAUAGAAUUUUUGAAGAGUGCCCCUAUAAUGGUGGGUACAAUAUUAUGUGAACUAUGGUAUGUACAAUAUAUUUAUAAUAUGAUUUGAUACAGCGACAUCCAUUUUGACAUAUAUAUAUAUAUAUAUAUAUAUAUAUAUAUAUAUAUAUAUAUAUAUAUAGAUAUAUAUAUANGUAUUUGGAAACUAAAUUUCAUAAUUUUUCGACAUCAUUUGGCUAGUGAUCAAAAGGUUCCAAAAUUAACAAUUUUAAUGGUAGAUAUGAUGCGUUUUUAAGUUCAACGGUGUAGAAGUAUCCAAAUUAGAUAAAAAUUUAAUAGAAAAUUCUACUUAACAUCAAUAGCAAGACCAAUACUUCCGAUUUGAAAUUUGAAUUCUUUAUUACUAUUUUUUAUGAGAUUUUCAUUUUCAGCCGUUUAUUUUUAGACUACUCGUUUGAUUGGUAAAUGACGCCGAAAAAUUAUGAAAUUUAGUUUUCAAAUACUUUCAAUAGUGUAGAUUAAGUCUAACGGAACCGAUCGUCGAUUUAUAAGCCGCAUCAUUGAAAACAACUGGGUAGCACGGAGACAUCCGUACUACCGAUAGUAUACCUGCCUAGCUCUAUAUAUAUAUAUAUAUAUAGAUGGUAGCUAAUAACAUAAUCAUAAAAGGACCAUCGGAUAAAAUCAACCAAAUAGUAUAUUCUAAGAUGAUGCACAGUUGAAUCCAUGAGAAUUGACACUCGAUAUAAUUGAAAUAAUUCUCAUGUACGUUUACUUUGUGUGCAUAAUAGUCGAGUAACACAUUAUUCUUGUCAAAUAAUUGUUUGCUUUAUUACAAUGCAUAUGAAGAGUUUGUAGAUGACAAUGAACAAAAUAUAUAUAUGAAAAUAUAGUAUUGUUGUUCUCCUCCAAAAAGCUCUGCUUCGGGUUCUACCUGCGCGAAUGCCAAAAAAGUUUGAAUCGAUUCAAGCAUCAAAAAUGAUAGUAUUUGAUAAAUAAUAAUAAUAAUAAUAAUAAAAAUAAAAAAUACGGUUAGUAUACCUCGAUAUAUCGAUUCUAUUCAUCAUCUUUAGCAUUUACUACAAGACGUCGAUAAUCCCACCUAUGUAUUGGCUGUUGCUCCAUGUCAUUCACCAUUUCAUAUUCAGUCGUAAUCUUCGACUUCAUAAUUCCAUGUUGUUGUCUUGCUGAAUCUAGCCAAUAUGUUACGCAAAGCAUCCAUUUUAAAACCUUGUCCGGAGAGUCUCUCCCGCCAUCAUGCACAUGUUUUACCAUCAAAUCAAGCAGCGUUUUGGGGUAGUUCUUCACCCAAAUUGCUAAAAGGUUGGUUUCCUCUUUCGAUAGUUCUCCUUUGUAGCACUAUUUUUUGUCAGCUCUCUAUUCGAUCUGCAGGUAAAUUAAAACAACAAUACCCUAGAAAUACUUUUAAAUUAAAAUGACAGAGAAUAAUGAUGAUUGAAAAUAGUAGAAAAUCGUAAUCAUAGAACAUAGUUGUGGACGACGUUUCGAUUGCAUGCACAAUGAUCUCCAUCUCACUGGCAAAGUCAAGUUCCACAACGGAGUCCGGCGGCUCUACACAAUCCAUCUCCACCAACUCUAUAUGGACACAUUGUGUUGUUCAAAUAAUCACAUUCAAUAUAGAAAAUCUAGUGACUUACGAAAUCAUUGAGGGAGCAUUAAUUAUAAGCUUACACUAAUGAUAGAUGCUAACACAAAUACAUAUUUAAAUAGAUGAGAAGUGGCAUGCGAAAGAUAUAGUGUAACAAUGUUUGCCUCGGUCAAGAGGCGAGAUUAUUGUGAGAAUGUUGAGAUCUCAUAGCUAGAGAACGAAGAGAUUACAACACUAUUUUUAUUUCAAGAGAGUCACUCAUUGGAAAUCACAGUAUUUUUUUUUUUCUCAAACACAAUUUCAUAUAAAUUAAUAUUUGGUACUUCUCUCCUUCGAUAGGGCUUCGCACUGGGAUUUCCCUGUGAAAAAGGAGAAAGGUUUGAAUAAAUUGGAACUAAGUACUAAACACUUCGAAAAGCAAUGUGGUAGCAUACCUUAAUAUAUUUAUUCCAUUUAGCAUCUGUGGCAAUUACUACUUGACGUUGAUGAUCCCAGCUAAACUCUGGAUGAUGCUUGAUGUUGCGCACUAUUCCAUAUUCACAUUCAUAAAAAUUGAAGCGAUCAUGCAAUUGUUUGUCUUCGUAUUUCUUGCCUGUUGCUUCAUUGAACUUGACUACAAUAUCAUGCCAGGAGUUAUUUUUAUAGUCUAGUAUUUUUCUCCCUUUUGAUUGAAUUUGCUUUACCAAUAAAUUAAGCAGUACUAGAUAAUGCGCUUUUUCUCAUAUUACUGAAGGCCGAUCCGUGAUUUUAAUCUUUUUUCUUUCCAAAAUUUCUUUUGGCCACUGUCUCCUGUAAGUACAAGCUACUAAAUAAAAGAGAUACCAAGAGAUACCAAGAUGUAUAAUUUUAAGAAUUUUACUGCCCAUGAAAAAAAAAAAAAACAUUCUAAUCCUAAGGGGAAAAAAUAUUAUAACCAUUAUCACUGUAUAUCNUUGAAGCGAUCAUGCAAUUGUUUGUCUUCGUAUUUCUUGCCUGUUGCUUCAUUGAACUUGACUACAAUAUCAUGCCGGGAGUUAUUUUUAUAGUCUAGUAUUUUUCUCCCUUUUGAUUGAAUUUGCUUUACCAAUAAAUUAAGCAGUACUAGAUAAUGCGCUUUUUCCCGUAUUGCUGAAGGCCGAUCCGUGAUUUUAAUCUUUUUUCUUUCCAAAAUUUCUUUUGGCCACUGUCUCCUGUAAGUACAAGCUACUAAAUAAAAGAGAUACCAAGAUGUAUAAUUUUAAGAAUUUUACUGCCCAUGAAAAAAAAAAAAACAUUCUAAUCCUAAGGGAAAAAAAUAUUAUAACCAUUAUCACUGUAUAUCAUAUAACUAUUCAUAUAGCUUUAACUAAUAAUUGCUCCUAGUUAAAGCUAUAUGAAUAGUUAUAUGAUAUACAGUGAUAAUGGUUAUAAUUUUUUUUUCCCCUUAGGAUUAUUUUUUUUUUUUUUUUGACUUUUCAAAUUACGCAUGUACCUUGUGAUCCAGUUGUGAAACUUGAUAUAUUGACAAGGAUCAGUCUAAAACGGAAUGAGCUAUUCCUAUUUUACUUUUGUGGUGUAAUCAUGACCAUUAAUUCAAGGAACUCACUUCAUUAACUGGACUUGUAUUGGAAUCACUUCAUUUAAUAAAAUCCACCCAAAACCCGAGAAUCAAUUCAAAUCAUGGCCUAGUUAAGAUUCCAAAAAAAAAAUUCAAUAAAAAAUGAAUUGUAAUUCAAGAAUUAAUAUAGAUACUCUACGUAGAAAAUUAAAAGUGGGAAUUUACACAAAGCAACCUAUAUAUAUUCUCGCUAUUAAACCAUCAAAUUAGAAAUGAAAGAAAAAAAUUCAAAGGACUGAGAAAAAACAAGCUACUUACUCAUCAUCGUCAGCACGGGCUCCCCCUUCUUCGCACUCAAGGUGAAGGAUGGACCCAUUCUGGAUUCCGUAGUGGGCCAAAGGUCUCUCAAUCUCCAGUAGUAGACGGCCAUUGAAAUAAGUAAAGGUUCCCAAUCUGACUGUAGCAGCUCAUGAGGAAGAAUAGUGAUUAACACAUCCUCGAUGGUGUGGGAUUUUUCCACCUCAAGCACAAAAUUUCCGUAAUUUUCUGACCGCACAAAGAUUUUCAUUACGCCGUCCCCGUUGGGUCUCCUGGAAGAGCUGGGGUUUGCAUUUCCUGCGGUCUUGGUUGUUUUUGUAGAACUAGCAAAGUUGCAAAUGUAAUGGACGUUACGUUAGCUUAUUUAAUUGUGGUAAUUGCCCUGCAAUCGUAACUGUAUGUAAAUUCAAAUUUAAUAUUUAAUUUAAUGCAUUUGAAUUUAAUCAUUAAUUGCAGUUGGAAUUGCAUGAAGAAGCCAAACUGUAGGUAAUAGUUGAAAGUAUCUCCAAAUUGGCUAUCGUACCAGCUGUACCAAUUGUAACAAUUGCAGAAAUUAACCUUUAGCAAGAGGUAAGUUUACCUCUCUAAUCACUGUUUUAAUAGAAAAAUAUUUUUGCUUUCUACGUCAGAGAUAAUUUUACCACUAUGUAUGUAAAAUAAUAAAAAUCUGGAAAAAUAUUUUUCAACUAUAUGCAAGGAAACAAAUUGUUUAUAGCUACAACAUUUUCUACUGCAUCAAAUCAAAUAAGAUGCUUAUAGCUAUAAUUGCUGUAUUUGAACUGCAUGCAUCGAUCUUUAGCUAUACUGUAUCUCAUUCAACCAAACAAAAAAAGCACUUUAAGUUACAUGUUAUACUAUUUGAUUCCAAUAUAUAUAGUGGUAGGAAACAAAAUGACAAUAGAGAUCCGUUGGGAUUCGAUCUCCUACUCUAACAAUGUGAUUAAUAGUAUAAAGUAAUAAUUUAUAUCUAAGAACUUAAACUGCUAUAUUCAACAAGGAUAAGCAGUGAUUUGAGAAAUAUGGUUACCUCAUAACUAAGGGAGGGAGCAGGGGCGGAGCCAUUGAGUGGCCCACAGUGGCCAUGACCCUCCCUAAAUUUUUAAAAAUUACAUAUAAGUCCUUUACAAUAAAAAUUAAAAUAUUAUAAAUUUUAAUUUUAGGGUGCCAAAUUAAUUUUUUUAAUAAAAUUUGUGUUUCAAUUUUUUUUUCAAAUUUUUUGGUCAUUUUUUUUUCAAUUUUUACAGUCUUGUUUCUCUUUAAGCAUAUUGUCAUUAUCAGUAAAUCUGACAAUUUUUUUUUUUAACUAUUCGAGGUCAAAUUUUUUUCUAUCAAAUCUAAAUCUUGGCCACCCCGAAUCUUAAUUUCUCACUUUGUUCCUGGGAGGAAGAGAUAGAGAAAAUACUAGGCCUUGUUUCACUUGGAGAAGCUUGGGUGGCUUAAAUAGAGAACUAAAACUAUUAGGAUCAGACCCUGGAAUAUUCAUUUUACCUAGUUGUCACUAGGGGUGGAAACGAGCCGAGCUUGAGCGAGCUUAUGUCAGCUCAAAUUCGGCUUGAAAUUAAUUCGAGCCUAAAUCUAGGCUCAAGCUAAGCUUGAAAUUAAUUCGAGCCCGAGCUCGAGCGAGCCUAAUUUCGAGUCGAGCCGAGCUCGAGUUCUAAACGAGCCGAUUGAAAUUCUCGACAUUAUAUAAUCAUAGUUUAAUUUUGAUAGAACAUUACCUACAAUUUGAUGUAACAUGUCCAAUAGUUCAAAAUACAAAAUAAUUGCAAGAAAUGUGAGCUAGGGUGACUGCCUGACUGGGUGAGGGUCUGAGAGAGAGAGAGAGAGAGAGGGGAAAAAAAUUAGGGAUUGAGAAUUGAAUGUUAUCAUGUUUUAGGGUUAUGUGCAACAGUAAAGUCGAAGAGAUAGUGGUUACGUAAAUUUAGAGUUUGGCUCAAUUCAUGGUUGUACUUGUUGGAUUUAUUUUAAUGGGCAAUAAUAAUGGCCCAAAUUAAAUUAAAGCCUAUAUAUAAUUAAAAUAUAAUAUAUAUAUAUAUAUUAUAUAUAUUAUUGAGCUUUUCGAGCUGUCGAGUCUAAUAUCGAUCGAGCCGAGUAAUACUCAAGCUCGGCUUGAAAUGAAUUUCGAGCAUUUUAUUUUGUUCAAGCUCGGCUCAUUUAAUUUCGAGUCGAGCUCGAGCGAGCCGAAUAUCGAGUUGAACACGAGUCGAACGCGAGCCGGCUCGCUCGUUUGCCAGCCCUAGUACUUCUCACCCCCACCAAAAAUAUACAGAGGGUAAUUAUUAAGAAACACGAAGAGCUAGCUAAUUAAUGAGACAAACGCGCGUCAACUUGCAGUAAAGUUUAAGAGGCUUCAAAUUUUUUUAUCCUCCAACUUGCAUGGUGGGAAAUUUUUAAUGAUAUAUGCCGUAGACUAUUGACGACUAGUCCCGAAAUUAACGCAUACUUUAAAUUGGCAUAGAAAAUGUGUUAAAUUCUUGAAUAGAAAGAGAACAUUGGGACUGCAUCCAAUGUUAAAUAAGGUGGAAUAAUUCAUUUUCUUUAAUUAAAGAGCUAAUGAUGUCACAGGCCCCAGUGCUAUUAGAAUCAUAUUCCAAGGUGUAAUUAGGUUCUUAAUCUCUUUUGCGUGAAAACUUAAUUGAAGUAAGUAGAAGGUUAGGUACUCAAUUGAAAAUCCGAUGAAAACAAAUCAAAUAUCUAGUUGCAAUAAGUGAAAUCGUAUUUAAUGUCGAAUAAUGUGAAAAAAUAUUUUCCUCUAAAAGCGUAAGUUACUAAGAACAAUGUUACUCGUGAAAGGUCAAAUAUCCAAUUGUGAACCAAUUGCAAUAAUUAGAUGGCGUUACUCGUGAAAGGUCAAAUAUCAAAUUGCGAACCAAUUGCAAUAAUUAGAUGGCUAGCUACGCACCGGAAAAAUAUUAGAGAUCUCCUAUGUAAUUUACCUUCAUGUUUAAUCUCUCUCCAGGGAAUUCAUAUACCUGUGCAUAAAAUCCUGCAAAUCCACUAUUCUAUGGGUAGCCUUAUCAUGUUGGAAUAAUCCACUAUUCAACUGCAUCGAGACGCGCAUAGAUGGAUGGAAGGCAAAACUCCUCUCACAAGGGGGGAGACUCAUCUUGGUCAACUCGAUACUUUCGAAUCUUCCGUUAUUUUACUUUGCAAUCUUCAAAGUACCGCAAUGGGUGCUGAAGAGAAUUGAAGCACUUAGAAGAUCCUUCUUUCGGAAAGGGUGUUUCAAAAUUUUGGGGGUUCAUGCCUCGUUGGUUGGAAAACGAUUUGUAGGAGCAAAAAAGAAGGAGGUCUAGGGAUAAAAGAUAUGGAAGCUAUGAAUAAGGCGCUUUUAGCAAAAUGGUGGUGGCAUUUCUUCAAUGAGAAUUGUCUGUUAUGGGGGAGGUUGAUCACUGCUUUAUAUUACACCAGAAGAAGGCCGUUACGCGAAGGCAGAUCCUUCAGAUCCUACUCUCAGUGGUGAAGAAGUAUGAUGAGCUGUUAAGACGUGUUCAAAAGCGGUGUUUCGUAUGUUCUCGACGAUGGGAAAAACAUCAGGUGGUGGUCGGAUAUUUGGAUCGAUGAAACCCCUCUUAGUCCCCGAUUUCCACGAAUCUUCAGCAGUAUCACAUAUCAGGAAGCCACGGCCGCACAAUGUUGGAACGAAAGAGGAUGGAGAUGGCGCGUCUUAACCAGAGGCUUUAAUACUCGUACCAAUGGUCAGAAUAGCCAACAGACGGCGUUGCUCAAAAACCUUUUCUCUCACUAUAGGCCAUCAGAUUCACAGGACAAACUAAGGUGGCGAUGGACCGCCAAUCAAAUUUUUACCGUCAAAUCAUUUUAUGAAUUCAUCACCGACGGAUGACAGAUUGAUACUUUGUACGAUCAACUAUGGGGGCUAAAAAUUCCGCUCAAACACAAACUUUUCAUUUGGUUUCUACUUCGUAAGAGAUUACCUACGGUAGACAGAUUGCUGCGCCGAGGGUGCAUUGUGGAUCAGCACUGCAGGUUCUAUAUGUUACUAGCCGAAACCGGUGACCACCUUUUCUGCGACUGUAUCGUUGUCAGAUUUCUUCGUUUGAAAGCAGGAGCCUUAGUUGAGGAGAAUUCGGAUGUAGGAGAUGUACGCCAGCUGUGGACACAGAUCUCGAACAUCCCCGAGGCCGUUACAAGAUCAAAAAUUUUAACCAAGUUGGCGGCAAUUUGGUGGGUUGUCUGGAUGGAGCGUAACGGCAUUUGCUUCCGCGACGUUCCCCUUAAUUUUUCCAGGGCUCUCGAAAGUGUCGCAAUUUUGAUCGAAGCCUGGAACGAAGCUCUUUGAAUCUCUCCCGGCCUCGGUGUUUUGCCCUCUGUGUCCCAUUUGUCUAUUUUAGUUUGAUCGUGUUGUUACGUACCUGACUCGGCGCAACCCGUCGAUGAUGAGAUUUCGCUGAGACGAAGGACGGCGUCGAGGAUGAUGAUGCACGUAACAGCUUGCCUCAGAUCUAGCGGAUCAUAAUUUGGGUACUCGGAUAAAGUAGAUGAGAAGAAUAGGAAGAAAGGGAAUAGAAGAGAUGAGAAGAGGUAGGGUCAAGAAGAGAGAUUAAGAGAAAUAAGAGAUGAUGAGAAAGAUGAAAUUUCAUUAAUUUCCUAACCUCAAUCUAUGUUACACGCUGCCUUUUAUUCGCUACAAUAAUGAAAAUAAAAUAAUGAAACCCUAACUCUAAGUGGGCUUCAAUCCUCCCUUCGCGGAUAUGAGUUACACCUCUGGGACUCCUCCGGAUGGCCUAGCGGAUCCAGACCUUCUCAUAACCGGAUUCACAGACUCUGAGGUUGCUUGUGGGCCUCUGCUGGGCUUGUUUGGGCCAAAACUGCAGGAUAGCGGGUAAACGGUUCACGGUUCCACUUAUCCGCACUAUCCACGACCGGCCGGGGCUUGGGUUCGCGUUUUGCCUCCGAUCCAUCAAUCUGCCCAUCCGACCCGCAAAGCUUCCAUCUUCCCCAAUCUUCGAUCAUCUCCUCCGCCUACUCCUUCCGACUUCCCACACUCCGAUGCCGCUCCUCCAUGGGCAUGGUUCCAGAAGGUUGAAGCUCACUAUCCUGUGGAUUGAAGCAAGGAAAAGCUAAGCCUCCUCUCCCUUGUACUCAUCCUACUAGACCUCCUCCCUAAUACUACUCCUAAUCCUCUUAUUGUGCUUGGCAGGCGUAACAAUCCCCCCCUCUUAACAUGAUCCUUGUCCUCAAGGAUCAAAAAAAGGAAACUGACUUUUAAGGAGCCAGUAAUCUUCCCAAGUUGCUUGUUCCGUCGGCAGAUUCGCCCACUUCACCCGCACUUCAGUUACAGUUCUGUGCCCAUGCUUCACCGAUCUCCUCUCCAAGAUCUCCUCAGGUUCCGCUCGCACUUCAUCCUCUUCCCCGAUUUCUGGAACCCUCGGUGACGCUUGAGCUGCUAUUGGGGGACUCUUCUUCAGAAGGGAAACAUGAAACACGGAGUGAAUCCUCGACCCUUCAGGUAAUUCCAAUCUAUAUGCGACAGGUCCGAUACGCUCCAGUAUCUUGAAAGGACCAAAAAAUCGCGCGGUAAGUUUCACAUUCCUCCUUAUGGCCACUGUGGUUUGCCGAUAAGGUUGUAAUUUAAGAUAAACCCAAUCUCCCACUGAAUAUUCUUUUUCUUUCCUGUGCUUAUCUGCUUGCUGCUUCAUCCUACUCUGAGCCACCUGUAAUCGAUCUCUUAAUUCCUUCGUCAAUCUUUCUCUCUCUGCUGCCCACCCUACGAAUUCCUGAGAGGUAGCUGUAUCUGUGGCGGCCACCAGGUAAUUCGGGGGAGAUUGCCCAUACAAAGCCUCAUAAGGGGUCAUUCCCAAUGCCGAGUGAAAGUUCGUAUUAUACCACCAUUCGGCUAACGCUAGCCACGCGUGCCAUUUCUUCGGAUGUUGGAAACACAGACAUCUCAAAUAAGUUUCCAAGCACCUGUUAACUCUCUCAGUUUGCCCGUCGGUUUCCGGAUGAUAAGAGGAACUCAUGUGUAGUUUGGUCCCCAGGGACUGGAACAGCUCCUUCCAAAACUGACUAACAAAUAUCUUAUCUCUAUCCGAAACGAUACUUUUCGGACACCCAUGAAGCUUGCAGAUUGUUCCCAUGAAAGCUUUAGCCACAUCUGCUGCGGAAAAAGGGUGUUUAAGUGAUAUGAAAUGUGCAUAUUUUGUAAGUCGGUCGACCACUACCAGGAUAGUAUCUCGUCCUUCUGAUUUGGGUAGAGAUUCGAUGAAAUCCAUGCUUAUAUCUUCCCAAAUUUUGUGAGGAAUAGGUAAAGGCUGCAAUAACCCAGUGUAUGGAGUGCCAUCCACCUUAUUUUGAGUGCACACAGUACAUCUUUUGACCCAAUCCUCCACGUCCCUUUUUAGUCCUGGCCAAAAGAAAUGUCGUUUGAUUCUUCUAUAGGUGUUUUGGAUACCUGAGUGACCCCCCAAAGCCGAGUCAUGCAUUUGACCUAGAAUGUUCUCCCUCAUUGGACCAAUGUUCCCGAUAUAUAAUCUCCCUUUAUAGCGCAGCAGUUCAUUGCCAUAAGAAUAAUGCCCUUGGGUGGUCGGAUGUAAAAUCAGCUCAUGUAUCAGUUUCUCACAAUGUUGGUCACCUUUGUAACUAUCCACGACCUCUCUGACCCACGCUGGAAUAGCCGCCGAUAUGGCCAACGUAACCCCCUCCUCUUCUCUCCGGGAUAACGCAUCAGCAACCACAUUCUCCUUACCUUUCUUAUAUUGAAUGAUAUAAUCUAACCCCAUCAGCUUAAGCAUGCCCUUCUGUUGCAUUGGCGUGGAAAUCCUUUGUUCCAAUAGAUGCUUCAAACUCUCGUGAUCCGUUUUAAUCACAAAAGUACCAGUGUUGAUGUAGUGUUUCCACUUUUGUACGGCCAUUAAUAUCGCUAGGAAUUCCUUUUCGUAUGUCGACAGCCCCAAAUGCUUAGUACCAAUGGCCUUGCUCAGAUACGCUAUGGGUCUUCCUUGUUGGGACAACACUGCCCCUAUUCCAGUCCCGCAAGCAUCAACUUCGAUAGUGAAAGGGUCUCCAAAUUUAGGCAUGGCGAGUACCGGAGCCUUCGUCAUGGCCCCCUUCAAUUCGUCGAAUGCUGUUUGAGCUUCUUCCUGCCACCCAAACUGAUCCUUCUUUAAUAACUCGGUCAAGGGUUUACUAAUCGUCCCAUACCCUUUAAUGAACUUCCUAUAAUACCCGGUGAGUCCGAGGAAUCCACGAAGUUCUUUGACUGAUUUUGGCACGGGCCAAUUGGUCAUCGCCUCGAUCUUUGAUGGGUCUGUCGCCACCCCAUCCUUGGAAAUGAUGUGACCUAAAUACUCCACCUUAUUUUGCCCAAAAUAGCAUUUACUCCGUUUAGCGUAGAAUUUAUUCUUCCGCAACUCCUCCAAGGUGGUACGCAGAUGUCUUACGUGAUCCUGUAAGCUUUCACUGUAAAUUAGAAUGUCAUCAAAAAAUACCAAUAUGAAUUUUCUAAGAUAAGGUUCAAAAGUAAAAUUCAUUAUGGCUUGGAAAGUGGCUGGGGCAUUUGUCAGACCGAACGGCAUGACUCGAAACUCAUAAUGCCCUUGAUGUGUGCGGAAAGCUGUUUUGGGAAUGUCAUCAGGACACAUCCUAAUCUGAUGGUAGCCCGAUCUGAGAUCUAUUUUAGAAAAAUACUUUGACCCUCCCAAUUCGUCUAGCAAAUCGUCGAUAAUAGGUAUUGGAAACUUGUCCUUCACCGUGCAUUUGUUAAGUUGCCGAUAAUCUAUACACAUUCUCCAGCUUCCAUCCUUUUUCUUGACCAAUAGGGCGGGAGAGGCGAAAGGACUAUUACUCCUCUGAAUUAUCUCAUGGCUUAAUAAUUCCUUUAUCUGCCUUUCAAUCUCCGCUUUCUGAUCGUACGAGUACCGAUAUGGUCUAACAUUAACUGGGGCCGUGUUGGGCUGUAGAGGGAUUUUAUGAUCCUGGACGCGGGGUGGUGGUAACUCUUUGGGCUCUUCAAACACAUCCUGGAACUCCUCUAGCACCUGUUGGAUCUCUGGGGCCAUGUUUAUUUCCUGUGCAAGUUCUUCUGAUACUGCUUGGUGCCUGAGAAGAUAACAUUCGCCUUUCUCUAUCUCCUGUCUCCAUUGGGCUGCAGAUAUUAAUCUUAGCUUAGCUCCUUCCUCCAUUCCUUUUAACUCUAGCUUCUGUCCAUCUUUAGUGAUUGCUACUGAGUUGGAUACGAAGUCGAAAGUCACCAAUCCAUAGGAUUUCAGCCAAUCAAUCCCAAGCACCAUGUUAGAUCCUUCGAUCAUAAUUACUCUCAAGUCGGUUCGAAAUGUGUGCCCUUGCAUAGUCCAAGUGAAACCUGGGCAUCUUAACUUACUCAAAACCUUGUGCCCGUUUGCUACGGUUACCGUCAAGGACGAAGCUGUUUCCAUUCGGGCUCCUAUAUCCUUGGCCACUUGUAGGUCGAUAAAACUAUGCGUGCUCCCCGUAUCUAUCAAGAUAGUAAGAGUUCGAUCGUUUGUGUUUCCGCAUAUCUUGAUGGUAUCUUGGGGUACUUCUCCACUUAAUGCAUGUACGGAAACCCCUAUCUCUUGCUGCUCUUCUCUGUCAGGUAUAAUUUCUGUCUCCUCUCCUUCUCUUCCGUUGACCGCCCUUUCGCUAUCCCCUGUUUGCAAAUACUCUUCAUCAUACACCUCCAAGAUGUUGUCAGUAGCUUGUAGGAUAUUCAGCGACUUGUUGGAACACACGUGUCCAGGAUGAUAUUUAUCCCCGCACCGGAAGCAUAACCCCGCAGCUCGGCGCUGCUCUAUUAACUGCUUGUUGAUCGGGUAUUGAUUUGCCGUGGUUUUGUUCUGACUCUGGUUCGAUUGCUUGUUCCCUUCCGAACUCCUAUACAGCGAGGUUGAUUGAUAGGUCCCCGCAGAUGUUCUGGGAACAUAUCUAUUCUUUCGAUUAAUCACAUUGAGAGCCCUUUCAUGUAACUGUGCUUGUUCGUAUGCUUCUUCCAGCGUGUUCGGGUGAGCGAUGUCGAGGAAGGGAAUUAAUUCUUCCUUGAGUCCAUUAAUGUAGCACGCAAUAAAAUAUUCUUCUGUUAAGUGGGGAUUGUAAUGAAGUAAUUGGAAUCUUAACUCUUCGAACCUUUCUUGAUAUUUCUCGCAUGUUCCCGUGUGUUUCAAGUUGCUGAAUUCUCGGAUCAGGUAUCUCUUCCCCCACUGCGCAAACCUUCGGCACACCGCUUCGGUAAAUUCAUCCCAAGACACUGUUUGUUUAUUAACAAAAUAACCUUGCUUCCAUGUUCUUGCCUUGCCUGUCAGGUGCAUCGUUGCUACACUCAACCAUUGAUGUUGAGGUAUUUGAUACAAUUCGAAAUAUUGCUCGCAAUUUUCGAUCCAAUUUCUGGGAUCCUCUCCGUCAAAAUACGGAAAAUCCAAUCGAGGGUACGGUAAGUGCUGAUGUUGAUUAAAAGUUCGAUGGCCCCACGGUGAGGCAUGCUCUUCCUCGGUAUCAUUCGUUCUAAACGGAGUGGGUAGAAUACCUUUACCUUUUUCUUCUCUGAUCAAUAACGGUGUGUUGCUACUUCCAGGCCGGAAUUUGCGGUCAGAAAAGGGCGCUUCGGCUUGAGUCUUGAGGGUCGGGGAUUGAGUGGUCAUAAGCUUCAGCAGCUCCUCAUGCCUCCUGUUUGCCUCGGUUUGUAGUAACUCAAACUGUUUUUGCCCUGUGUCCCUUACUUCGGUUAUUCGUUGGGUAAGUGCUUCUAUGUUGGCUUGAUGUUCCGUUCCCAACUGCUGGUACUUCUCUUCUAGUGAAUGGAUGUGAUCACUAAUAUCUCUUAGUCGGGUCCCUUCGGCCAUAUCUAUAUCCUCCAAAUACUCCUUUGGAUUGAAUUUAAACUUGUUGCCUCGCUUACCCCCAAUCUUGUCGUGUUGGUAGGGCUAGUUAUGGGGGUUUCUAUGAACGGAAGGAUCGUAACCCGGUAGUUGUAUGGUGAAUUCCUUUGUCCAACUCUGAUCCCAGUACAGAAUCGGCAGCGCGGAAUUCUUAUACGCGAUUAAACUCAACGAUGCUGAGAUCGGAGUUCGGGAGCGAUUUUACCACACAGGGCCCGGGGAUCGGAAGUUCUCUGAUACCAAUUGUUACGUACCUGACUCGGCGCAACCCGUCGAUGAUGAGAUUUCGCUGAGACGANUGGUGUGCACCGGGUCAACGAACAACCUCCCAGGAACCAAUGAAGCAUAAAUCUCAACUGCGUUUGCACACACGAAGUCGAGCCUUUAAGCACCCACUCGAUUAAGUUGUCAAAAGAAAUAAAAUGAAAAAACAAGAAUAAAAUUAUUGUGAAUGGAGAUUUAAACUCUUCAACUGUUUCCGUGUACUUCUGCAACCAACGCUAUGCACUUAUAUAGGCCACGAACAGGUGAUUCAUAAAGUGACUAUUCAGGAAAGGGUGUUUCGUGAAGUGACUAGUCAUGAAUAGGUGUUUUAUGAAGUGACAUUUUAAUUAUGACUUUUCAUUUGAUCAUAACUACCAAAUAGUUAUAUAAACCAAGUUCAAUGAACAUAAUCAUAAUCAUUGAUUUCAAUGGAUAUUUGUACGAAGAGACACACUAUAAAAAUGUGUCUUUUUAUGUCAUAUUCUUUCACUAAAAGUCAUAUUCGUUAAUUAGAGUUGCAUUUAUUCACUCAGGCUUGUAUCCAUUCACUAAAAAUUGCAUCCUUUCACUAAAAAUCGCAUCCAUUUACUAAAAAUCAAUAAAUAAAAUUUAUUACUUUAAAAUUUUCCUUACAACCAGUGUGAAGCAACUAGAGGCGUCCAUCGUAGAGCGUGAGAAAAAAAACUGAAAUUGUUGAAGCCAGGUAAUUAGCACUCGUCGAGGCACGCCGAUCUCAUCCCACAGCCUCCCUAAACAUCGUAUACCACACAGCACAGCACAGCACAGCACAGCAGCCGAACAGGAUCAGCUCUUUGGCCCUCGAAAAUUAUUCUGUUUCUUUCCAACCACAGGACCCACCAACCGGCAGCAAAAAUGGAGAACCCCUUCUUCUUUGUUGCGCCCUCCUUCGCUCUAAACAGUUCCCGGAACUCGCCGCCAGCUCCAAUCACAGGACCCAUCAGAUCAAAUAUUACAGUUGCAUGCGUACCCAACUAAAAAUUUCUAAUUAUAUAUAUCAAACUUAAAUUCAAAUUUGGAUCUAUAAUUUAAAUUUGAAUAUCGGUGCCAAUAUCUUUUUCUUUUUCUUUUUCUUUUUUUUUUUUGUCAAUCCUUCUGAAAUCAAGGAUUGUUUCCAUGUCCACUGUUGUAAAUUAUCCGAAGGAAAAUUAAUUUUCUUUGAAAUGAAAUCCUCUCAAAUCAAAUAAAGAUAAUAGAAAUCAGUUAUUCUAAUUCUAGAUUAGAUGAGCAUAAAUCUUACAUAUUUUCCAAUCCAGAGAUCAACAAUUUCACACUGGUAUAAUCACUUGAGCGUACAAGCAGAGCAUCCCCUGAGGCAAACUAAUUCCUAGGAUGGUAGUAAGGGAAGACGGUGUAGAAGGUCUGCAGGAAGGUGAAAACAAGAACGAAAACUGCUGCGAUCAAGGAAAGGAUGGCCCACGGGUUGCCGAAAUAGUCCCUGACCAGCUUCGCCCUCCACUUGGGCCAAUCGGAAUCGCAGUACUUCCUCACGUCCCGGAACAACCCGGCGAGGUAGUGCUUCUCGAAAUCCAUGGCGGCGCAGUCGGAGAGCUGGUUGAAGAACACCGCCAGCUCCUUGUCGCUCGCCAGCUUGUUCUCCAGGAUCCCGCUCUGGUGGAGUAUCGCGACGUCUGCCGGCGUGUCGAUGAUGCAGUCCAUGAACGUCGCGUAGCUCGUCAUGUACGCCUCCUCCGGCUUGCACCCGCCGCACUGCUCGAAUGCCACGAGGUUCGUGAACCGCGAUAACGUCGAGUUCUCCACCGAGAGGAAUGGGAUCUCGAGCACGCCGUCGUGAAAUGCGACGUCCAGGAACGAACCGGGAUGAUGCUGAUCACUCUCGUUCCUUUUCCUCUUCUCGCCCUUCCUCUUAAACGUCACUCCGGCCUCCUCGAGCUCGGUCGCGGACGGGAUCGUAUUCGGCGAUCGUUUCUUAUCCGCCGGCGCCUGCGAUCGGGAAAUCUUUAUUCGGAGAUAAGAGAGGAGGGAGGCGAAGAUCUUAGUCGGGUUUAACCAUUUGAGAAUAGUACCGCAGAUGGUACUGCCCCUCGGGUCAGUUUGUGGUUUCGGGAUGUAGCAGCGGUAGUAGAGAUGCAACAGGUGGUGGAAAUCUUUGGCUUCGCCGUGCACCGAAACGGCGGCGGAGACGCGACUGGCGAGCAUCUCUUCCUCGGGCCUCUCGACGUUUCUGCUCGCGAGGUAGUUCACGAGAAGCUCCAUCAGGGAGGGUAUCUCCUCGUCGUCCAUGGUGAACGUGACGAGCUCGAACAGCUUCUCGAGCACGAAGAGGGGGAUCUGGUUCUCGAGCAGGAGCAGGUCGCCGCGCACGAGCGGCAAGCUCCAUCCGGCGGUGCAGACGCUGUCGUCGUCCCCCUGGCUCCACUUGAUGAUGAACUCGAGGACGAAGCACCCGUCGAGGAGCAGCAUCUCCACGAACGCAUCGGCGCUGAGGUCGACGGGCUCGAAGUAGCACCGCCGCGCCCGAGGCUCCAGCACCCUGAUCUCGGCUAUGUAGUGAUCGAUGCAGUUGUAGGGGUUGCGGGAGAGGAAGUCCUGCAGGUAGCGCCACUUGUGCUGCUCCAUGGCGCGGAGGACGGGGCCGUCGCCGCGGCCGUAGGGGCCGACGGAGACCAUCCGGGGCUCGUAGAGGUGCGUGUUGCGCUGCCGGACGUGCGCCGGAACGCGGAAGAUGGUGAAGCUCUCCGGCGCCAUCGGGUUGCGGUGUAAGGCGUUGAUGUUCGACCUGACGGAGCUCAGCACGGCAUCCUCGAUGUCUACGGCGACCGCCUCUCCCUGAUCCUGUGCCAUCGCCGGCCGGCAGCUAUCCUGUGCAGUCAACGAUCGUCCUCGGUAUGUAACCUCCCUCCCUACAUUACCUGUUCCAGAUCCAGUCGGCCGGCACAAAGGGCAAUAAAUUAAGUCCUUCUAAAAAGAGUUGUUUUUCUUUCCCCUAAAAAGCUUGUAGGGGAAAUCGCACGAAAUUUAUUUGAACUGUUCCUUUUUAAAAUGUUACUAAUAUACUAUCUAAUUUUUAGUUUAUUUAAUUAUAAUUAAUUGAUAUUUUUUUAAACAUAUAGGUUAAACUAUAUUUGUGAGGCGUCACAGUGCUAUAGAGUAUGGAGUCGAUAAUAUUCUGCAAAAUUUACUGCUUUUUUAGGUAGGCAAAGCUUAUUCCUUUUCCUGUCUUUCCGGACGUUUCCCCAUCUCUCCUCAACUUCACUCGGCCUUCGGCCCACUACGCACCGCUCGGAUGCCAAGUAUAGAUUAAUUAUUUAUUAUAAUAAAUUUAUUAUUAGAAAAAUUAUAUAAAAUAUAUUAAAUAAAUUUAUAUACAUACAUAAUAUAUUUAAAUUUGAAAGUUAAAAUAUCGUUUGCUGACUCAAAUCAAAUAAAAUAAAAAAUUGUGUGACAAAAUCAAACUCUUGAAAAGAUUGAUUAACUAAAUUAAAAUAGUUCAUAGACUAGAUAAGUUUUUAUAUUAAUUUUUUAAGUAAAGUAUACGAAACUUAUCUGAACUAUAGAUUGUUUUGAGUUGGUUUACUCAACCUUUUAAAAUUUUAAUUUUACUAUCUAAUAUUUCAAUUUGUUUGAUUUUGAUUCAGCUAACAGUAUUUUGAUUUCAAAAUUUGAAUGUAUUAUUUAUUUUUAUAGGUUUAGUUAGUAUACUUUAUAUAAUUCGCACAAUUAUAAAUUUAUUAAAUUAAAUAGUUAGCUUAAAUUUUGAAGUCAAAAAAUCGUUGAUUGGCUCAAAUUAAGGAAAUUAAAAGAUUAGAUAGUAAAAUUUAAAAUUUAAAAAUUUAGAUAUUUGAUUUAAAAUAAUUUAUAAUUUAGAUAAAUUUUGUAUGCUUUUAUCUUUUUUUUUUAUACAUUUUUUUCAACCAAAAUGAAAGCAAGUAAAUGCCUAGAGUGUCAUUGUCCAUUGAUUGUGAGAAGUGGGCCUUAGAGAUGUGGGUUGGGUGAAUUUGAGCUGUCAACAAGUCCUUUUGAAUGUGGUCGAUAUUCAGAAUACUUAAAAUGAGUUGGAUUCUUUUUGCGGAUUUCAAGUUCUCCACCUGUUCGAGUCUUAAAUGAUUCAGUUCUAAUGAGAGAGGAGACAUCUUUUUCUUUACUAUCGGUGGUUUCAUGACCAUUGAUUCAAAGAAACUCGUGUUAACAGAUUUGAAUUGAAUCUUUCCAUUUGGAAUGAAUGAGAUUAUAUCGGAUUCACUUCUUUUAUUUUUUCCAAGAGGAAAUGGGUUUAGCCCCCAUUGGAUUCAUUUCACCAAAAGAGAAGUUAUAAGAAACAUAUACCACUAGAAUUCCAAUCUCAAGUUAUCGGAUUCAUAAAUAAAAUCCACACAAAUAUGGUGAAAUCAAUCCUAAUCAUGAAGGUUCUAAAAAAAGAAAUCAAUGAUAAUUGAAUUGGAAUUAAUAAAUUGAAGGUACUCUAUGUAGAAAGUGUAAAUUAACACAGAGCAACCUAUAUUCCAGCUACAGAAACAUCAAAUUUAAAUACAAAAAAAAUGAAGGACCAAGAAAGGGGUAGCUACGUAGACUAUAAUUUAUCAGUUUGUGCACUCAAGGUGAAGUAUGGACCCAUCUAUAAAAAAUUGUGUGAAAGAGAAUAGCUUUUUACAUAAGGCCAUGUUUGGUUCGACGUAAAAGUGGACCGAAAAAAAUUUUUCUCCGAAAAACAACUUUGUAGCGUGUUUGGUUGGAAGUAAAAAAUUUUUCUGGAAAAACUUAUUUUACAUAUGUUAGGAAAAACUUACUUUUCGUUUUCCGCAUAAGAGCCGCGGAAAACGAAAAGGCAGCGGCUAGCAAAACAGCAGUAGCCACAGAUACGAUUCUCAAUCAAAAAGGGCAAAAUGUAAU
rnacentral:lncRNA from 1 species